rnacentral:lncRNA from 1 species
GCGACUGGAGAAUACUCUAUAUGGCAACAAAUUGCAAGUUCCGGAACAUUUUUUUAAAGAGAUGUCAGCACUGAAAGUUGUUACUAUAAUAGGUGGAGUCCUUUCAGUUAAAUCACUUCAAUUCCUCGCCAAUAACCUUCGAGUUCUGCAGUUGAUUCGAUGUGAUGUGAGCGACGCGUCUUUUCUUGGAAAGUUGAAGAGACUUCAAAUUCUCUGUCUCCAGCGGUCUGCCAUUGAAAUUCCAAAUGGAUUGGGGGAUGAACUUAGUAGAUUGAAACUUCUGUAUAUUGAUACUUGCUCCAUUUCUCCCAUUACGAUAAAUAAAUUUCCUCAAUUAGAAGAAUUUUAUGGUGUGAUAAAAAAUUGGGAGGUUGAAGGGAUGAGUUCAUAAGAAAGUUACGCUAGGUGUGCUGAGUCGGACUCCCAAUCCGACGAGUCGGACUCCCAACCCGACGGAUCCGUUGUAUGUCUUCCAAAAGACUUUUCAUUUCCGAAAUUACAAAGGUAUGACAUCAAUAAAGCUGACAGCAAUGAUUGUACAAUUUAUAGAGGGAGAAGGAGCUUAUACAUUAAGAAUAACCAUCCUAAAGCAACACUAGUUAUUUUUUCAGCAUAGUAUCCAGAAUUGGAAAAUCUUUAUCUAAAUAGGGUAAGAGGUUGUCAUAAUAUUGUGCCAAGCAUAGAUGAAAGGGGAUUAAAUGAGUUGACUAUUCUUCAUGUCACCGAUUGUAAAGAUUUGGAAUGCAUAAUGGAUGCCUCUAAGUCGCCGCAUCGAAAGAGUGGGAAUCCUGUGAUGCUCUCAAGAUUAGCAAGGUUAUAUAUCUCAAAAUUACCAGAACUGAAGUGGAUAUGGAAGGCGCCCACCCAACAUGUGAUCAGCCUCCAAUCUCUUACAGAAUUGAGUGUGUCAGAGUGCAACAACUUGACUUAUAUCUUCACGUUGUCACUGGCUCGAAAUCUGUUGCAAUUGAAGGAGUUAGCUGUUUUUAAUUGUCGGGGAUUAGAGCAAAUCAUUGAUGAGUAUGAGGAUGAGGAUCAUCUCCAACCUGUAUGUUUCCCAAAACUCACAUGGAUCGUUGUCCGUUAUUGCCCCAAACUAAAGCAUCUAUUUCAUAUCAGCGUAGCUCUAAGUCUUCAAAAACUGAAGCAACUAUACAUAGUAGGUAAUGAUGAAUUAGAAGAAGUAUUCUGCCAUAAAGAUGGAGCAGACGUCACGGAUUACAAUGAAAUUGUUAUGAAUGAACUUCGGCACUUGAUACUGGAAGACUUACCAAACCUCACCAACUUUUGGCCUGCGGGUUAUAAGAUCCCAUUUCCAUCUGCAUCCUAUGGAGCUGUUGUUCGUAAUUGUCCCAAGCUUAAGUGGAAAUUCAUAAGGAGAAGAUGAUUCCGAGAAUUCUGGAGCAGAGGUAAUUCUUGAGAACUUUAAAUUAAUUGACUCUAUACAUAGUUGGUUCAUGUUUUCGUUUGUGAUAGCUAAUUGAUCUAUCCUAAAAUCAAAAUUUCUCUUUCAAUAUAUAUAUGUGUUAUAUUAUAAUUUUCUCUGUUUGUUUUUUUUUUUUAUCAUUUUAUUCAUCAUUCAAUCGUAUUUAAUGCCCAAUUUAUUGGUUGGAUAUAUAGGCACAGCAAACUACAGACGAGGCAGAUGCCAGCCAAGAGAGGAAGACGCCAGCGAAGAAAAAGAUGGCAGCAAACAUGAAUGAUUUCAAAAAAUUCCAAAAAUCCCAAAAAAAAAAAAAACACAUUUCAGCAUGUUCAGUUCGCACAAGAAGCUAAUAAUAAGCUUUGUUCUAUACUUGUUUAAUAUUUCGUGCGUGCUCAAAUUGUGAAGAAUAAAGUUUCAAGGCUUUGUUGUGUGUAUCUCAAGAUUUAUUCAACUUUAAAAUUCACCUGUUCCGUUUGUGAUCAUUAUUUCUUCAAUUGUUGAAAUUUUGAUAAAAUUGCUGGCUAAAUUGAUGGCCUUUUCGAUGGGCAUUAAUUGUGCCAAUUUAGUAGUUGCACGCAUUUUCUAGACGGCGAAGAAAGUGUGUAAUGUUGUGACAGUAAUAAUUUUUAUUUUUUAAAAUAAAGUGUGUGAUGUUGUGACAGCAAUAAUUUUUAGUAGUAGCACGCAUUUUCUACACACACCCCAGCAGUGACUGUGUAUCGUGACUGGUAGUGACUGGCUUAUUUGAAAAAAUAACACUAAGCGUACCCUUAUUUCAUCCCGCCUUCCGCAAAUUCCGGCCAUGCAUUCUAUUUUCGUAGGUGAACAUUUUACAGCGGUAAUGAUCAGAUUUCUUUCCCCUAUAUCGUGUAGCAUUUAAUGCAAGUAGCUGAGAAGGCCCAGCCCAGGCGCUCUUGACAACGCAAAAGUCGUCUAAAACAACAAAAUAUUUUGUUGAUCUUUUACUUUUCUUCAUUAAAAGUAUACAAUUUAUUUUCACCAAAUCCAAGAGCGUGUCAGAAAAAUGAUGUCCCAAAAAAUGACUUAUCAUACUGAGAAAUAUUUAUUCAAGGUUGAAACAUAUUUACUUGGGGAGCAUAAUAAAAAUAGAUGCAUAUAACAGCUAAUAGGAUCGCUAACAAUAGACUAAAUUAAAACGCCAAAGAAUCUCAUAAAAAAAGGGAUUACAUUAGCGACUGGACGGUUAAUAAAAAAAAUUUGGGCUAAGCCGAGCCUCUUUUUUUUUUAUACGAGUGAAAUUUUUUCUUAAAGCUUUAUCAUUAAAUUUUGGAUGUAACUAUUUAUACUUUAAACACCUUUAUUUUCAUAACACCCCCAUUAAAAAUUGUCAGAUUUGCAAAUAUAGGGUUUACUCUAUAAAACCCGUCAAAAUGCAAAAUCUAUUCUUAAUAUUUUUUCUUCUCUCAUCUUCAUCCUUCACCCAUUUUUUUGUAUCUCGAAAACUCUUAACAGCAAAGGAAAAAAAAUCUCUUGUACUACAAUAAACUUAUGAUACUUUUGUAUUAACUCGUUAGAAUUCUUUCGUAUUAACAAAAAAUACUUACAAGAAAAAUUCAUUUUCUUCGAUCUAUAGUAUUUUUAUAUAUAUGUGGUUCCCAUUUUACCUACGUUUCAUUGAGAUUAAAAAUUUAAAGGGAAAUAAACGGUUAAUUGAGGGCUCAGCUAUCUUGCAAUAGUUGUAAGGUACUACUAAUUUUUUAUUUUUUCUUGAUUUCAGUCAUUUACCAUUAGAUUUAAGAAAAAAAUAAUUUUAAUGAUAGAUAUUUGUUCAUUUGAAUAUUAACAUUACACUCCCUAUUAUUUAUUAAAAACACAAACAAGUUAAAGAGUUAAAAUUUUUAACACAUAAGUUCGGAUUGUUUUCAAUUUAUAUUGUUUAAUUAGUAGUGAGUAUUAAAAAAUCAAUUAUAUUUUUAAUAUUAUAUAUUUUAUUUAAAAGAAUAAAUUUUUAAUAUUAUUUAUUUUAUUAAAAAUAAAUCUUAUUUAAUAUUAUUUAUUUCAUUUUAUUUAAUAUUAUUUAGUCAUAUGCUUAUUAUUAUAUUUAUUCUUUCAAAAAACUAAAUAACAUUAAAUAAAAUAAAAUAACUAGUAGGGAGACUUAAAAAUAAAUAUUAUUUUUUAUUUAACAUUAAUUAAUCAUAAGCUUAUUAUUAUAAAUAAUAUUUAAAAAAUAAAAAUAAUAUUAAUAAAAUAAAAUAAUAAAUAGUGAGCCUUAAAAAUAUAUAUCAUUUUUAAUAUUAUUUAAUUUAAUUUAAUUUAAUAUUAUUUAGUCACAGACUUACUAUUAUAUUUAUUCUUUCAUAAAACUAAAUAAUGUUAAAUAAAAUAAAAUAAUAAGUAAUGAGUGUUAAAAAAUUAAUAAUAUUUUUUAUUUAGUCAUAGGCUUAUAAUUAUAUUUAUUCUUUAAAAAACUAAAUAAUAUUAAAAAAUAAAUAGUGUCUUAAAAAUAAUAUCAUUUUUAAUAUUAUUUAAUUUAUUUAAUGUUAUUUAGUCAUGGACUUGUUAUUAUAUUUAUUCUUUUUAAAAAGAUAAAUAAUGUUAAAUAAAAUAAAAUUACAUUUUAAAAAAUUAUCAACCAAAACACAUAAACUUAUAAAUAAAUAUAAAAAAUAAAUAAUAUUAACUAAAAUAAAAUUACAUUUUAAAAUAUUACUAAACUUAUAAAUAAAAUAUAAAUAAAUAAAAAAGAAAUUAAAUAAAAUUUAACAUCACAUAAAAUAAAAGUUGGUAACACUUUACGACUGUUAUAAGUAGAUGGACCCGUUAAUUGAAUGGUGUGUUCGUGGCAGAUUGUACGUUCAAUUUUCAUUUAUUUAAUCAGAAAAAGCACUAUUUUGAAUUGAGGAAUCGUAAUCUUGAUAGAUUGCGUUCUGACAGCCAAAUUACGAAGUUAAGAAGAAGACGACAGCUUGCUUUUCGCUUGUGAUUCAAUAAUUUGUUUUUGUCGGUGAUAAUAAUCCAGCAAAAGGUUGAUGUAUUAUUGGCCGAGAAGGAUGAAAUUGACAACUCACUGUCACCUUUUCUUUUUUGAAAUUAACCCAUUUUCACUUUAUUGCAAUCCAAAACAGUAUAUUGGUAGUCUACUGUUCUCACUUUAUUGCAAUCCAAAAUGGUAAGUCCGUAGAAGCCUCCAAAAUGUCCUUUGCUUCACUUAAAUUGUUUAUUUUUAUUUUUAUAAUUAAUAUAUAUAUAACUAUUAUUAAAUAAAAAGAUAUUUUAAAUUAUUAAAUUAAAAGAUAAAAUUAAAAAAAUAAAUAAAUUACUCACUUUAAUACAUUAUAUUUUACCAUAUAAUAUAUUAAAGUAUGUAUUUUUUUUAUUUUUAACUUAAUAACUUUAAAGAUCUCUCAUUAGAACAUUACAAUAAAUAUAUGUAUUUUUCUUUGUGUGUUAUGAAAUCUGCUGGGAUUUUUCUUACAGCUUAUGUAAGUUACAUUCAUUACAAAUUGAUACUUGUCUUUAUUAUAAAUUUUUCUUUUAUCCAAUAUGCGUUCAUUUCUUCAAUCAAACCUCAUAUUUGUUCAAUUUACGAUAAGAUCCUUGUAUGGGAGCAUAUCUGCAUAUGUAAUAAUUAUUCUUCUAUUUCAGACAGUUUUUGUGAAAAAAAAAAUAACUUUUAGCAAUUAUUUAUGUUUACGAAUUCUUACAGUCUUAUUUUAUUACUUUUCAUAGCUCUAUACAAAUGUUUACUAUAGAAUUUGUGUAUAUUUGGCUAUAAUAUAAUAUAUAAUGUAAACUUCUAUUCAUCUCUAAGUAAAAUGACAAUUUUUUGUUUACUCUUUAAAAAUAUGAAAUUAUUAAUUUACUCUCAUUUUUAUUUACAAGACAAUGGAAAAUAAGGUUGCAUUGAUUAAUUUUUUUAUUGAUUAAUUUUUUUAUUUACUUAGUAAUUAAUUAGAGUAAAUUAAUAUUUUCAUAAUGGGAGAUACAUUGCAGAUUCUCAUUCUUAGUAGCGGAUAAAUUAAAAUUUAUCUAAUUAUUUUAAAAUAUCAUUAAAAUUUUACAUUCUAAUCUAGAUUAGAUUUGCAGGGGGGCAACGUCCUUAUUCGAAUUAGACUCAGUUGGAAGAGGCACAUCUUCACCUCAACGAUUGUUCCACACGGCCCAACAUGAUACACUGUAAACUAGUCUAAAAAGAAUUCUUUGGGCGACUUUCUAGCAAUAGACACAGAGAAAGUGCUUAGUAGUAUGAAGUCUUCUUCUUUUAAAAUCAAAAUAAAAUGCACAGAGGACGAUAAUUUUGUUUCAUAAUUGAAAUUUUUACCAAGAAAGUUUGAAGAUGAGAGUGGCGAGAGAUGAGAGUGGCGAUGAUGGUGUGUGCUUUGGAUGGAAAAAUAGAUGAGAAAUAUAUAUAGACAUAUUAAAAGAAAAAUUUUAAUUUAUGUCUCAAGUGAAAUAAGAAAUUAUAAAUGUAGGUGUUAAAAUGUAUUCCGAAUUUAUAAAUUUUUAUAAACAUUAGACCCUUAUAAAAGUACAGCGAAAAGUUAAAUUUUUUUAAUAAAUGUCGAAACAAUGGACGAAGAAACCAUUCAUCAGCUCAGAAUUAACAAUCAAAGAUAUGACGACUUGGUUGAAGAAAUGGUGAAAAAUAAAAGGACAUUGGGUCUCGCUAAUAUUAAGGUUAGCGGGACCCUAAUAUUAAUGCUAAAAAAUAAAAGGACACUGGGUUGGUUUAGCGGGAAUCUAAUAUUAGAGUCAAUGGUAAAAUAUAAAAAUAAAAUUACAUGUGAUUAAUUUAUAUAUGUGUAGUUAAGUACUUAGCAAGCACUAGUUGGGGGUUUUUGUGUCCAUGGAAAUUAACAGUUGGUUGGUUGUUGGCAUUAUUCUGUGGGUCUGUAAGUGUAAUCAUGAUCUGACCAUUCAAAUUAAGAAAUGGGGCUCCCGCCGUAAUUAUCACACAUGCAGAUCUGGUCCAUGCGAGGAUCUUAUCAUAAAUUAAAAGGAUACGAGGACUUGAUUGAAGAAAUGAACAGAUAAUUGAACAAAAGACAAUUAUUAAUUUGUUAUGAAUGUAAUUGACAUAAGCUGUAAGUUAGCGGGACCCUUCACUUUAUUGCAAUCCAAAAUGGUCGGUCGGUAGACGCCUCCAAAAUGUCCUUUGCUUCACUUAUGCUGCGUUUAACGGGAAACAGAAAUUUUAAUAAUUAUUAUUAAAUAAAAGAUAUCUUAAAUUAUUAAAUUAAGAGAUAAAAUAAAAAGUAAAUAAAUUACUCACUUUAAUACAGUAUAUUUUAUUAUGUAAUAUGUUAAAAACACAUAUUUUUUUAUUUUUAAUUUAUUUUUAACUUAAUAACUUUAAAGAUCUCUUGUUAGAACAUUACAAUAUAUAUAUAUAUAUAUUUCUUUUUGUGUGUUAUAAAAUCUGUUGAGAUUUUAAAUAAAAUAUUUAUAAUAUAAUUUAGAGAUAUGUUGAACAUUAAUUAUAAAAUAUACCUAAAAUUUGUGUAGAAAAAUCUACUUUCAUUUAAAAAGAAUGAGAUUUAAAUUCAUUCUAAAGAAAAAUAUAUAAAAGAAAAGUGAAAAUCUUAUAUUUAAUUAAACAAUUUAAACUCAUCCUCUCAACAACAACCCGAAAGAUACCCCAAAUGCAAGCAGUUGGACACAAAACUUCUUAUUAAUUUUUUUUUUUAAAGUUUUAAAUCAAUUUUACCAAAUUACCCCUCAUGAUAGAUGAUAAGGCAUGUGUAUCACUUCACUUUCCACCUUUCAAUUCUCACUGAUAUAUCAUUUCAGACCUUUCUACCAAAGUUCAAUCAUUUUUCAUGCUCUUGAAGUCACCAGAUCUGUCAUCCGUGAACUAGCGGCUCUCAUUUCGGUACGUUACUUCUGAGAACAAGGAGUUAUACUGACAAGAAAAAUUCAUUUUCUUCAAUCUAUAGUAUUUUUAUGGAUGUGUGGUUCCUAUUUUAUCUACGUUUCAUUGAAAUUAAAAAUUUAAGGGGAAAUAAACGGUUAAUUGAACGGUGUGUUCACGGUAGAUUGUACGUUCAAUUUUCAUUUAUUUCAUUAAAAAAUCAUUAUUUUGAAGAGUCACCCUAUGUAACGUUAACAUAUACACAUUUACAGUAAUAAUAACAAGUCCGAUAUUUCGUUGAGAGUGUGUACUCAACGUAAUACAGCAGUGGCCUAUUUUGAGUUGAGGAAUCGUAAUCUUGAUAGAUUGCAUUCUGACAGUACGAAAUCAAGAAGAAGACAGAUUGCUUUUUAGUUGUGAUUCAAUAAUUGGUUUUUGACGGUGAUAAUAAUUCGGAUUCAGCAAAAGGUUGAUGUAUUAUUGGCCGACCAGGAUGAAAUUGACAACUCACUGUAACCUUUUCUUUUUUGAAAGUAACCCUAUUUUCACUUUAUUGCAAUCCAAAAUUUAGAAGCCUCCAAAAUGUCCUUUGCUUCACUUAAAUUGUUUAUAUAUAUAUAUAUAUAUAUAUAUAUAUAUAUAUAUAUAUAAAAUUAAAUAAAAGAAUAAUUUAAAGAUAAAAUAAAAAAUAAAUAAAUUAUUUAUUUUAAUAUAUUAUAUUUUAUUAUGUAGUACGUUAAAACGUAUUUUUUUUAUUUUUAAUUUAUUUUUAACUUAAUAACUUUAAAAAUCUCUCAUUAGAAUAUUACUAUAUAUCUAAUUUCAAUAUAAUCCACCAUAUAGCACGUUUACCUUAGUUCUUCUCUUCUGUUUUGCAGCUAAAGUCUACUUAAAGCUCGGUGCUUGCAUUAUUUUAUUCUUAUUGAUCAAAGUUGGCGCUAAUAAACAGAAAAAAGUAAUUAAACGUUCUCGUUCGAUCUUGUGAUCAAGCUUCCUUGUUUUGCUUAUAGCGUACUGAGAUCAACUUUGUUAAUUGCAGAUAAAUAGCAUGGAAAUUUUAUCAGGUAUUGCAUCAAAGCUUGGAGAGUUAUUGGUGGAUGCUACCGUAAAACAAGCUCGCUAUCUGUUCUGUUUCAACAGCAUUGUUAAAGAACUUGAGGAUAAAGAAACUAAUUUGAAGGAGGUGCAAGAUGGCAUCAACGAAAAAGUAGAAGAAGAACGACAAAAACAUUGCGCUAUAGUAGUUGAGAAAGAUGUAGAGAAGUGGCUGGCGGAUGUAGUCAAAGAAAUGGCCGAUGUCCGAACUUUGAAAGCAAAGCUAGAUGAAAAGAAGAGUUGUUUCAAUGGAUGGUGUCCUAAUUGGGGUUGCCAAUAUUGGAUGGGUAGAAAAGCAUCAAAGGAGACUCGCAAGCUGUCCGAUCUGCUACAAGACCGCAGCAAAUUCAGCACAGUUGCGCGUCCUAAACCUCUUCCAUCAGACAAAGAAUUGCCUAUACCAAGACAUUUUAUGCCUUUCGCGACUACAGAAUCGGCUUGCUAUCAGAUCAUUAAAGCACUGAAAGGAGACAACACGAAGAUAGUGGGAUUGUAUGGGAUUGGUGGUGUCGGAAAGACAACUUUGGCGAACUUUGUGGGCAAUCAACUUCGGGAAGAAAAUGUUUUCGAUGAGGUAGGGAUAGCCACUGUAUCUCAGGAUCAAAACAUAAUAAAUGUUCAAAGUGAGCUAGUAAAGUCGUUGGGUUGGGAAUUAACAGAGACAUAUGAAAAAGAUAGAGCACGCCGAUUGCGCAUGAUGUUCUCUGAGAGUAAGAGCCGCAAGAUGCUCAUAAUUCUUGAUGAUGUCUGGAAUGAACUGGACUUGGAAAAAGUAGGUAUUCCCGUUGGUGACAGAGACAAUUGUUGCAAAAUCCUUCUAACCACUCGCCUGCAGCCAGUUUGUGAUCGCAUGGGUUGUGACACGCAGAUCCAACUAGGUGUUCUAAAGCAAGAUGAAGGAUUGGAUUUACUAAGAAAGCAUGCUGGCAUUGAUGUUGCUGAUACAACCUUGAUUGAUGUUUCAAAACAAGUUGCUGAUGAAUGUAAGGGGCUGCCUUUAGCUAUUAAAGCUGUUGGAAGUGCACUAAGAGGAAGAACCGCUGAUGAAUGGAAUGUAGCACUAGAUAAACUACAAAAUGCAAAACUCGAUAAGAUAGAAGGUAUUGAUAAGGAUUCCCAGGGCGUUUACGGUUGUCUCAAGUUUAGUUUUGAUUAUUUGAAUGGUGAGGAUUCCAGGUCAUGCUUCUUGUUGUGUUCGCUGUUUCCAGAAGAUUAUAAGAUAGAUUUGGAGGAUUUGCUUGGAUAUGCAGUGGGGUUGGUUUGGUAUCAAGCUGAGUCAAUCGAAAAAGCCAGAAGCCUACUGCGUGGAACAAUCAAAGGACUCAAAGAUUCUUCAUUGCUGUUAGACAUUGAUGAUGACAGAUUUGUGAAAAUGCAUGACGUAGUUCGCGACGUAGCCUUAUGGAUAGGCAAAGUGGAGAAGAAAUAUUUUACUAGUAAAGUUGGCAUUGGAUUGGAGGAACUGGCAGUGGAAGAAGACCUAGAACAAUGCAGAGGAAUCUCUUUGGUGGGAAAUGAAAAAGAAGAGCUUCCUAGUGGUUUGGUAUGCCCUAACCUUCAUAUUUUGCGAUUGGAGAAUACUGAAUAUGACAACAAAUUGCAAGUUCCAGAACAUUUUUUCAAAGAGAUGCCAACAUUGAAAGUUGUCACUGUAAUAGGUGGAGUUCUUUCACUUAAAUCACUUCAGAUCCUCGCCAAUAACCUUCGAGUUCUGCAGUUAAUUCGAUGUGAGGUGACUGACGCGUCUUUCCUUGGAAAGUUGAAGAGACUUCAAAUACUUUAUCUCGAGAAGUCUCCCAUUGAAAUUCCAGAUGGAUUGGGGGAUGAACUUAGUAGAUUGAAACUUCUGUAUAUUGAUACUGGCUCCAUUUCUCCUAUUACGAUAAAUAAAUUUCCUCAAAUAGAAGAAUUUUAUGGUGUAAUAAAAGAUUGGGAGGUUGAAGGGAUGAGUUCAGAAGAAAGUUACGGUAGGUGUGCUGAGUCGGACUCCCAACCCGACGGAUCCGUUGUAUGUCUUCCAAAGGACUUUUCAUUUCCGAAAUUACAAAGGUAUCGCAUCAGUGAAGUUGACAAGUUUAGUAUUGCAAAUGAUCUAGGGACAAGGUGCUUAAUCAUUGAGAAUAACCAUCCUAAAGCGACGCUAGGAAUUUUUUCAGCACUGUAUCAAAAUCUGGAAAUUCUUUAUUUAAGUGGGGUAACAGGUUGUCAUAAUAUUGUGCCAAGCAUAGAUGAACGGGGCUUAAAUGAGUUGACUAUUCUUCAUGUCACCGAUUGUAAAGAUUUAGAAUGCAUAAUGGAUGCCUCUAAGUCGCCGCAUGGAAAGAGUGGGAAUCCUGUGAUGCUCUCAAGAUUAGCAGAGUUAUCUAUGUGGGAAUUACCAGAACUGAAGUGGAUAUGGAAGGCGCCCGCCCAACAUGUGAUCAGCCUCCAAUCUCUUACAGAAUUGACUGUGUCAGAUUGCAACAAUUUGACAUAUAUCUUCACGUUGUCACAAGCUCGAAGUUUGGUGCAGCUUAAAAGUCUGGAAGUGAGUGACUGCGAGAGACUGGAAUGUAUUGUCGAAGCAAAAUUUGAUCAUAAUGAAAGGGAAAUAAGUGUAGGAGAUGGAAAUACAAUACUUGCGCUCCCUUCGUUGAGAAAAUUAAGAUUUAAAGAUCUCCCCGAACUCAUCAGCUUCUGUUCAGAAAAUUAUUAUUCAACUUGGCCGGCAUUGGAAGAGUUAGACCUUGCGAGCUGUCCUAAAUUGACCGUCAACAGUACUGAAAUUGAAGCCAAUUUGCAGUAUCUUGGAGAGGUACGUUCAUUUGUGUUUAUGUUUUUUUUUUCCUUUAAUUUUAUUCAAAAUGAUAGUUUAUCGAUAACUUUUGUAAUCAGUCAUUUAUAUCACCUUGCAUUUGGCCUGUUGAGAUGAAGGUGAUGGUGGUGGUAGUGGUGGUGGUGGUGGUAGUGGUGAUGAUAGUAAUAAUGAUUCAGUAUCUUGAGCAAAUUUCUUUGUUUUAGGGCCUAAAAUUCAUUCUUCAAAUAAAAGUCAUAUCUCGUUUUGGUUUAUGAAAAAAUGGAUGCAANNNNNNNNNNNNNNNNNNNNNNNNNNNNNNNNNNNNNNNNNNNNNNNNNNNNNNNNNNNNNNNNNNNNNNNNNNNNNNNNNNNNNNNNNNNNNNNNNNNNNNNNNNNNNNNNNNNNNNNNNNNNNNNNNNNNNNNNNNNNNNNNNNNNNNNNNNNNNNNNNNNNNNNNNNNNNNNNNNNNNNNNNNNNNNNNNNNNNNNNNNNNNNNNNNNNNNNNNNNNNNNNNNNNNNNNNNNNNNNNNNNNNNNNNNNNNNNNNNNNNNNNNNNNNNNNNNNNNNNNNNNNNNNNNNNNNNNNNNNNNNNNNNNNNNNNNNNNNNNNNNNNNNNNNNNNNNNNNNNNNNNNNNNNNNNNNNNNNNNNNNNNNNNNNNNNNNNNNNNNNNNNNNNNNNUGAAGUCGUGGCAAUUGAAACAUCUUCCAGAACUGCGAGUAUUAUUAUAUCAUGAAGGUCCCACGCAUAAUUUUAGCCUCCAAAAUCUUACCCAUUUAAGAGUGGACGGGUGCACUAUGCUGAGGCGUCUCUUCUCAUCAACACUUGCUCGAAAUCUGUCGCAAUUGAAGUUGUUAGGUAUUGUUAACUGCUUGGAAUUAGAGCAAAUCAUUGAUGAGGAUGAGGAUGAGGAUCAUCUCCAACCUGUAUGUUUCCCAAAACUCACAAUGAUCACUGUCAGUUAUUGCCCCAAACUAAAGCGUCUAUUUCAUAUCAGCGUAGCUCCAAGUCUUCAAAAACUGGAGUCCCUAUUCAUAACAGCUAAUGAUGAAUUAGAAGAAGUAUUCUGGCAUAAAGAUGGAGCAAACGUCACGGAUUACAAUGAAAUUGUUAUGAAUAAACUUCAGGUGUUGGAAGUGACAGAUUUACCAAACCUCACCAACUUUUGGCCUGCGGGUUAUCAGAUCUCAAUUCCAUCUUAUAAGGUUUUUGUUCAUAAUUGUCCCAUGCUUCCUGAAAAUUCAGGAGAUAUAUUAUUCCAAGAAUUCUGGAGAACUUUAGUUAAUUGAUUCUAUACAUAGUAUUAUUACUAUUGUGCAUUCUAUGAAGCAUUUUAUGUUUGAUAGCGUAAUUUAAUAUCAUGUUAUAAUUAUAUUGGUAUGGAUCAAUGCUUACACUAUUAACUAAGGAUUAUUUUGCAACAAUACUAAUUAAUUCCCUAUAUAUAACGAGUCAUAUUCAUGUCUGGAUGCUUGGAUUUAAUAAAUUCAAAUUAUUAGAAUCAAAGUUAUACAGCACCUGAUUCUAAUUCUUGAUUUUGUAAAAUCAUGACGUCCGAACCUACGCACCCUUUUGCUUGUAAUAAAAAAAUAUUGUAUUUUAUGAAUAACAAUACUAUUGUACAACGUCACGUGACAGUAUUGCGUAUUAGCUUUCGUCUACUUGUAUCAUGAAGGUUGCCGAUGUACAGUGAAGCUAAGUUGGCAUUCUUCAUAUAUCUUUGGUAUCCCCAAACAAAAGUGCAUAAAUCGGCAUUAAUUCAUCAUCUUUUUCAGUACUCUGUAAAAUUUCUGAUUCAAAUUAUUUUAAAAGUUUCAACUUUUAAUAUUUUCAGGGGACGGCUUAUGUUAUAUAAUGUUUUAUUUCGGCCUUAUGCUGCAAAACAUGAGAAAGAAAUUGAUCUUAAUUUGUUGAAGCUGAGAAUUAAGGCCAGGGAAAUAGGUCUUCUGUUUUGGAAGAAGGCUGCCAUUUAUGGGCAAACAAGGUUUUUUGAGAUUUUGCAGUACGCCUCUUCUCACUCAACUUCACUGCCUAAAUCUGAUCAGGUAAUUUAACAACAUUUUGUAAGAUAUUUUGCUGCCAAUUUCCUCAUUAAGAGACAAAAAAUGUUUUGUUUUAGGAUUUAUGAAAAACGACAGAGAAGUAAGUGGAAAAAAAAUAAAAGAAAUUAUAGUGAAUUUUCUUUUUAUAUUACAAUAGGAAGCAAGUUAAACUACAGCAGCGGUAAGAAGCUACGGAAGAAGCAGGGCAUUUGCCAACAAAAUAUGAGGCUGCUGCUAAAAUGGAAACAGUGCCAGUAUCAUCAUCUUUCCAAGAUGGCAAUUUAAUUAAUUCCUUCAAUCAAAAAGGGGUUUCCACGGAUCAAGCUAUCCCGCAAUCAAGAAGCAAAUGGCCGUUGUUCAGGACUGCAGCAGCAAGCCAAUAAUAAAGCCCUUGUAUUUGUCUUCUGCCAUUAUGAAGAUGAUUUAUAUACGUAGAUGAUGCAAAUUGAACACCAAUUAAUAGUUAAUUAGUCUCCAUUGUUUUCUUGCUACCAAUUUUGUAUCAUAUAAAUCUCAUGGGACUAUUGAUUAACAAUAUAUAUAGUGAGUAGUAGUGGUUGGGUACUUUCAGUUAGAAGAAAAUUGUAACAUGCAAUAGUCAAUACUUAAUAACACAUUUAUGGUGUGUUUACUUGUGGGUUUGGGGAAUAAGAAUGAAGAAAUGAGAAUCAAACCUAUGUUUACUUGUCAAAAUGUAAUUUGGGAAUGGGAAUAAAAUGUGUAAGUCACACACAAUUUGGAAAUAAGGAAUGAGAAUCUUAUUCCUAUGGGGGGUUGGGAAUGAGAAUUAAACAUAAAUUUACCUUUCUAUCCUUCUAAUUUUUUCAUAUUUCCUAAAUUACCCUUAUUCAAAUCACAAAUAAUUUUAUUAUUUUAAAUGUAAUUAAUAAUAAUAAUUAUUAUUAUUAAAUUUUAUUAACUUUAUUAUUUUAGUUAUUAUUAAUUAUUUUUAUUUUUAUUAAUAUUAUCAUUAUUAACAAUAAAAUAAUGAUAAAAAUAAUAAUUAAUAAAAUAAUUAAUUUAUCAUUAUUGUUGUUGUUAUUAUUAUUAUAUUAUUAAUAAAAUUAAUAAUAACUACAAUAAUAAAGUUAAUAAAAUUUAAUAAUAAUAAUGUAAUUUUCAUUAUCUACAUACAUGUAUAAAUAUUAUUAUAAAAAUUAUAUUAAUUAAAAAAUAAGAAUAAUAAUAAAUGUUAAUAAUGAUAAUAUUAAUAAAAAUAAUAACAAUAAUUAAUAAUAACUAAAAUAAUAAAGUUAAUAAAAUUUAAUAACAAUAAUAAUAAAUGUUAAUAAUAAUACUAAUAAUAAUAAUAACAACAACAACAACAAUAAUAAUGAUAAUAUUGUUAAGAGUAAUGAUACAGCCACAAACUCUUGUACAAACUUAUCUUAUACAAACUGAUGUGGCAUUAAUUCAUUAGUUGAAUGAAAAUAUAAAACAAUAUAAACAAAUCAUGUGGGCCAAGAGAUAUUUAAUUCAACCAAUAAAUUAACGCCACAUCAGUUUGUACAAAAUAAGUUUGUACAAGAGUUUGUGGCUAUAUUAUUACUCUAUUGUUAAUAAUGAUAAGUUAAUUAUUUUUAUUAAUUAUUAAUACUAUGGGUAUUUUGGUAAAUUGAUUCUCAUUCCCAAUUCUCAUUCCCAUUUAUUUUGCCAGGUAAACAUAUCAAUGGCAUUCCAGCACAUUCCCAUUCCCAUUUAUUUUUGCCACAUUGAAAUCACAUUCUCAUUUCACACCAUUCCCAUUCCUAACUCAUUCACAUUCCACCUCAUUCUCAUUCUCAUGAAGUAAACGCAUCAUUAAAUUGCAGCAUGUACUAGCCUACUUAAAUUGUCUAUUCAUUUUUGUUCACGUUCGGAGAAUUAACUAAUCAACAAAUUAAUAUGUGACACGUUUUGUAAUUACAUGCCGAUAAUUUUUUAUAAGGUAAUUUAAUGCGCAAUGCAGCCAUUUUAGACACGAGGUUUGGAUGUAUUUCUCAUUGUUAUUAAAUAUGAGUUAGGAUCUCACUUUAUAUUGUUAUCUACUAAACUACUAAUCACUCAUGUUAAGAAGUAGCUCAAAUCAAAAGAACAUCAUAAUCUGUUAAAUAAAUGACGAGUUAUCUUAAAGUACAAUCUAAUUGAUUUUACCAUUUAUAGUGGAAGCAACAAGUCAAGUGCUCAAUUUUUAAAGGAUUAAAUUAUUUACACUAUAAAAUUAUUCUGAACAUUUAUUAUUUCAUGCAAUUAUUUACUUAAUUUAAAAAUUAAGAUUUUUUUUAAAAAUUUGAAUAGGUCUGAAUUAAAUGAAAGUCUGAAUAGCUCUAAGUUUUACUUUGUACAUUUUUUAAAAGACUUUAAAAAAAUCCUUACUAAUUAAAUCAUUUUAGCUAAUUUGUAAAUAAAUUCUUUUUAACACAAUUUGAAUUUCUUGAAAUCGUGUCUUUUCUGCCUUCUGAUUUUAUUGUGUUAAACAAAUCGAAUGGCUUUUGCCACGUAUGUUUCUCCCGUGCAUUUGGUUUAUUUCCCUUUCGAGUGAUGCAUCCUGCAACUCUUCAGCAAGAGAGUUUACUCGUCUUGCUUUCUUUCCCUUGAAUCAAGAGACUUUUUGAAAUAAAUUAUUUUAUUUAAAUAAAAGUAUUCGAAGUAAUUUUUAAAAUAUAAAUACCCAUUUUAUUUAUAAAAAAAACUAUAUUAAGGCAUGGGAAGGCCGUAUCUAAUCGGCUUGGAAAAUUGUCACAUGCAAUAGUCAAUAACACGUUUAAAUUGGAGCAUGUACUAGCUUACUUAAGUUGUCUACUCAUUUUUAUCCACGGGUAGAGAAUUAACUGAUCAACAAAUUAAUCUGCGACACGUUUUGUAAUUGUAUGCCGAUCAUUUUUUAUAAAGUAAUUUAAUGCACGAUGCAACCAUUUUAGGCACGAGGUUUGGAUGUACUUCUCCUUGUUAUUAAAUAUGAAUUAGGAUCUCACUUUAUAUUGUUAUCUACUAAACUAUUAAUCAAUAUGUAGCAGCUCAAAUCUAAAGAAAAUCAUAAUCUAUUAAAUAAAUCAUGAGUUAUUUUAAAGUACAAUCUAAUUGAUUUUGCCAUCUAUAGUGGAAGCAACAAGUCAAGUGCUCAAUUUUUAAAGGAUUAAAUUAUUUACAUUGUAAAAAUUAUUCUAAACAUUUAUUAUUUCAUACAAGAUAGAACCAUUCACUUAAUUUUAAAAAUUAAGGUUAUAUUUUUUUUUAUAAUUUGAAUAAUUUGAAUAGAUCUAAAUUAAAUGAAAGUCUGAAUAGCUCUAAAUGUAUAUCAUUGAGGACAUGUUUGUUUUUUUAUGACUAAAUAUAAGUGUUAAAUUAUUUGUCUUAUAAGCCAAAAAAAAACUGAAUUAUGAUAUUUUGGCAUUUAUGUCCCUAUAAGUAUUAAUAUAUAUUUGAUAAGUUAGAGAUGGUAAGUAAAUUAAAAUCAUUUUAUUAUUAAUUAUAACAUAUCUAUUUUUUUCAAUAUAUACAAUGUUACAGCUAAAAAAGGUACAAUGUUAAUUACAUUAUUUGUGUGUAUUAUAUGAUUUUUUUUCGUUCAAUCACACAAUUUAACAUAGAAUCAAUUAACAAUUUCAAGUAAAAUAGAAUUUUACAUAUAUUAUUAAUUGUAAAAGUUAAAAUAAUUAAGGAAUAAAAACAACAGCUACAUCCCAACAUAUUAAUUUUUGUUAAAAGUUUUGUUCAAAAUAGUUGUUAUAAAAAAAAAAAAAGAGCCCGAGAUGAGUACAAAGUCCAAAAAUAUAGAUUUUACAAAAUAAGUUGAUUCAAUCCUGUAAAAUCUCCACGAAAUAACGACAAUUGGAAAGAGUAAAAUAAAAAUUAGUUAUGUUUGAUUGGAAAUAAGCCUAUUAAAUAGGGGUAUUUUUGAGAGAUUGUAGUGAUUUUCGUUCAAACUUUUUUCAAUUCAGAUAAAAAUUAAGUUAUUUAACUUUUUAUAUUAAGUGCUAUAUUCUGAAAUUUAGAUAAAAUAUGAAAAACAAACUAGUAAACUUAAAAAAUGUUUGACUUCACACAUUUAACAGACAAGCUUUAAGUUUUACUUUGUAGACUUUUUAAAAGACAAAAAAGAAAUCCUUACUAAUUAAAUCAUUUUAGCUAAUUUGUAAAUAAUUUUUUGACACUAUGCGAAUUUGUUGAAAUUGUGUCUUUUCUACCAUAUGAUUUUAUUGUGUUAAACAAAUCAAAUGGCUCCUGCUGCGGAUUUUUUCCAGUGCAUUUUGUUUAUUUCCCUUUCAACUGUUGCAUCCUGCAACUCUUCAGCAGGAGAGUUUAUUUGUCUUGCUUUUUUUCCCUUGAAUCAAGAGACUUUUUGAAAUAAAUUAUUUUAUUUAAAUAAAAGUAUUCGAAGUAGUUUUUAAAAUAUAAAUACCCAAUUUAUUUAAUAAAAAAAAACUAUAUUAAGGCGUGCGAAGGCGUAUCCAAUCGGCUUGACGCUCAACCCUCCUAACCACAAAAAAUGCAGGUAUAAAAAAAAUUCAAUAGAGCACAUGUUAAAAAGAUGCUAUUUUUUAUUUUUUUUAUUUUUUGGGUAUAAUGGGGUUCGUAACAAGAGAUAAGGAUGGACAAAGUGGGGAUAGACAACCCCAUACAUUUCAUGCGUGAAAAAAGGGAGCAAAUUAGUAGGGGAUCAUUGAAAUGGUGACAUCCCAAUGGUAGAAAGUAGAGACAGAGCAUAAUUAGCUAAGAAAUCUGUGGUAUACACAUGAUUGACGGUGAUGUUAUAGUGUCGAUUCAUUAACAUAAGCUCAGGAACAAUUAAAGAUGUUAUUUUUUAACAUAAGCUCUGGAAUAAAAAUUAAAAAAAAAAAAACCACAUUUAAGAUUUAAAACACAAGUUGUCUUAAAUUAAUUCGAUUACAUGUGGCUAUUUGAAAUUAUUAAAAAUAAAUUCUAUUUUUCCCGCUUUCCCUAUCACUUUGCCAACGUGUUAUUUUCACAUUGGUGGAUCUAAUCUAAGUAGUGGCCUGAUUUGCAGCCUCGAAUUGAGCAUAUACAUUUUACUGAAUUCGACAAAAUCAAAAAUCGGGUGCUUACCAGGCAAUACAGACCAGCCACAAACUUUUAUUAGAUGAUUGCCACGUAGCGAAGAAUCAACGGUCAAUACCAGCUGGGAACUGACUAAGCCUGCGCUAUAAAGUCCACGCGGCAUGCAGAUACGGGCCGACCAAAAUGGACAGCAGACUCAAUCACCCCGGCCUCUGCUGGUCUCAUCUCUUCUCGUCGAACCAACCUCUUUUCUAGGAGGCUCUCAAACCGUCCCACGUGUCCUGACCACACAUAGAUUUGUGUGGUCACCAACCUCUGCCUUUAUCUCUCUCUAUUUCUAAGGACGUGUUUGGUCUCAUCUUCAAGGUGCAUUUCACAAUGAAACGAUGAAAAUAAAAUAUGUUAAUGGAUCAAUAACAUAUUAUGCUUAUUUAAUUUAAAUAUUUAAUUGAGAUAUUUACUGGUGGAUCACAUAUUAUUUAAGGAUAUUAAUUGAUUUUAUUAUUAAUUAUUAGUCUAUCACCACCUUAUAGAUCACACAUAAAAUCUUACAUCAGUUAAUAUCUUAAUUAAAUAUAUAAAGUGAAUAAAUAUAGUAAUUAAUCUAUCAUAAUUCUAUUCUACGAUUUAAUAAAAAUAUUCUCAUACAAAUCAUUUCAGCUGCUGUUAAAAUUAAAAAAAUUUGUCAAAACUUUUGGAAAUUAUAUUUUGCCAAUGUCAAGCUAAAUUACAUUAUAUUGAGAAGGAUAAAAGUUUUAGGCAAGUGAGAAUUGUUCUUUAUGACUUAUGCAAGUCAACAUUUAUCCGUUUAUACAUUGAUUUUGUUUGAAUAUAAACUCAAUUAAACGAUUAGGACAGGUUCAAUGCACUAGUUUCUCGUGCUUAAGACAUGUUCAAUAAAUAUAAAAGUAAAAUCAAUAUUUGGGGUUCAUUUUAAAUUUAUUUUUAUAUGGGUGAUGUAUCUUUUCACAAACGUGUAUAAGUAAAUAUAUUUAGAAUUUGGGGUAAAGAUCUUAUAUUUUUUUAUAUUGUAUAACACGUAUAAAGAUAUUACGUGUGAAUAUAAUACAUAUUAUAAUGUGCAUAUCAUAAAUUAAAAGAAAUAGUGAUGUUAUGUUUAUUUAAUAACAUAACAAUUCUAUGACUAAGUAAAAUUUCCUUACAUUUUCUUGGUAGCAUUUUGGUUCGAAUCAAAUCUAUCCGAAUCCGAUUUUUGAUGCCCAACCCUACAUGCAUGCCUUUAUUUUCAUAGGAAAAGUCAUAGCCACCUUGCAACAGCUCUUUCAAAUUUAAUGGUUUUGGUGCCAACUUUGGUGCUAAAGUCAAAAGUAAUAUAUUAUUAAUAAAGUGUUGGCUCUACUGGCAAUGUAGUCCCUUUAAGUGACUUGAUUGAGUUUGCUCCACAGUUCGAGUCGCAGGAAAAUCGCCUUUGUUGGGAGAACCUGUGCCUCUCGGUUCGAGGGGGACUUCUAAUCUGAAUUGUGGUACGGGCUUAAAAGUGCCUCCCACAGUUGGGACCCUCCCCAGAAUACCUCGUGGUCAAAACCAAAAAAAAAAAAGUCAAAAGUAAUAUAUUAAUUAAAUACCCAUUUUUUUUCAUAACAACCAAUUAGAGAAUUAUCAUAUUUGAAAAUAUAAUUUUACUUUAUAAAACCCAUCAAAAUGCCAAAACUAUUCUUAAUGUUUUUUCUUCUCUCAUCUUUUUCCUUCACUCUCUCUCUCUCUCUCUCUUUUUUAAUACAUAGAAAACUCUUAACAUCAAAAGAAAAAAAAAAUCUCUUGUACUAUUAUUAUACUCUUAUAUUAACUUGUUACAAUUCUUUCGUUAUUUACGCACAAGAAAAAUUCACUUCUUCAAUCUAUAGUCCUUUUACAUACGUGUAGUUUUUAUUAGAUCUAUACUUUAUAGAGAUUAAAAAUAAGGGGAAAUAAAUUAUUAAUUAGAUGGCGUGUUUGUGACAGAUUGCAGGUUUAAUUUUCGUUUAUUUCAUCAAAAAGAGCAUCAUUUUGAAUUGAGAAAUCAUGAUCUAGUUUGCUUUUUGACAGCCGAAUUAUGAAAUGAAGAAGAAGGUAGAUUGCUUUUUUGCUUGUGGUGGCAAUAAUUUAUUUUUGACGGUGAUAAUAAUCCAGCAAAAAGUCGAUGUAGUCGCAGACAAGAUGAAGUAGACACUUUUUCUCUUUGAAAGUAACCCAUUUUCACUUUUUUUUUUCCCGCAAUCCAAAAUAGUAGAUUGGAAAUCUAUUAUUUUCACUUUAUUGCAAUCCAAAAUGGUAGACGGAUAAUCUUUUGAAUAAUAGAUUGGUAGUCUAUUAUUUUCACUUCCACCUCCGGCAUAUUUCUAGAUGUUGUAACCAUGUGGUUGAUGUAUUGGCGAAAUUUACUCUUCAAGAUUCUAAAUUCUUAGUAUAUUUGGAGGAUUAUCCCAAUUUUUUAGAAUGUUAUCUUUAAGUUGAUUUCUGAAAUAAAAUACUCACUUUUAUUAAAAAAAAAAUGGUAGACAAGUAGUCCAGCAAAAGCCUUAAAAUGUCCUUUGCUUUACUCAAAAUUAUUAUUUUUUUAAAUUAUAUAUUUAAUCAUUAUUAAAUAAAAGACUUUUUAAGUUAUUAAGUUAAGAGAUAAAUUAAAAGAUAAGUAAAACACAAACUCUAAUGCACAUUUUAUCACGUAGUAUAUUAAAGCACGUAUUUUCUUAUCUUUUGACUUAAUCUUUAGGUUACUAACUUAAUACACACACAUAUAUGGAAUAUAUUGAGAUUUCAUAUAUAAAUAUUUAUAAUACAAUCCAGAGAUAUAUUAAACAUUAAUUUUAAAAUAUACUUCAAAUACAUUGAGAGAAAUCUACCUUUAUUUAAAGAGAAUAAAGGGCCUUUUUUUGACUUAAUAACUCAAUUGACUCAAUUUUAAUUAGUUAAGUUAUUAAGUUUAUUUACUUUUUAACUUAAUAAAAAAUUUUAGCCAUUAAGUCAUUAAGUUAUUUUUUUAGCUUUUUACUUAUUCUAAGAGGUCUGAAUAAUAUUACUAACGAUAUUUUCCAAAGUGUCAUAUCUAAUUAAUUAAUUUUCAUUCUUACCUAAAUAAAAUUUUAUAAUUAGCAUUAUUACCCAUCUUUAUAUAACUUGUGAUAAUAUAUAGUGGUAAACUAUUAUUAUUUUUAUCUUUUUUAUUUUCUUCAAAUUAGCAUUAUUUAUUUUUAUAAAUUUUUAUAAAUAUUUUUCAUGUAAAAACAUCAUAAACUAUAAUAAAAUUGAUUAACAUAUAUAAUAUAGAAUAUUAAAGAGUUGUAUUGAAUUGAAUAUGAUUUACGUUUUGGUAAUAUAUUAUCUUAUUUAUAUUUUUUGAGAUGUUUAUUAUUUAUUUAACAUUUAUAAUUUGUAAGGGUAUAAAUGUAAAAAUCUUAGUUUUCAAAUCUUUUGAAGUUAAAAAAAAACUUAAUAUUUAUUUUUAGCAGUUUAGACAAAAAAAAAAGUAUAUCAUUUAGAUUUGGAUAUUCAACUCUAUUUAGAAUUUAAAUUAAAUCAAGUUAUUCAAAUUUUAGAUUAAAAAAAUAAACACCACCAGAGCCUAAGAGUAAGAUUCAAAUUCAUUCCAAAGAGAAAUUUAUAAUAAGAGGAAGAAUAUUGUAGAUAUAAGCUCAUUCUGUUAACACUUAACAACCCAAAAGAUACCCCAAAUACAAACAGCAAGUACAAGCUUCUUUGAAAUCUUUUGAAUUUCUUUGAAUUUUUUUUAUUUUAAAUGAGUUUUACCAAAUUACACUCAACCAGUCAGAAAAUACCAAAUGAGAACACAAACGGGUAGGGAAGGUAUUUGAUAAUAUGGAAAUACAAUGUAAGUGAGAAGACAUUAAACCUCAGGGAAAGUAUCUAAAAAUUACCUCAUUUCACUUUCCACUUUUCAAUUCACACUUAUAUAGAAUUAAAAAAAAAAGGAAAAGCAAAGAAAAGAAAAGUUAAGCGACGAAGUCGAUAUCAAUUUGUGAAGCAUGACUCGGACCUUGCUACCAAAGCUCAUUCAUUUUUCAUGCUCUCGGAAGUUACCAGAUCUGUGAGUUGCUCUCCUUUCGGUAUGUGACUUUUGCUUCCUAUAUCACUUGCAGUUCAACUUUUUUUUUUCUUUUUUCCUUUCUGAGAACUAAAGAUUUGAUAGAGAGCAAGAAUUUAUAUGAGAUGUUAAUUAGCUAAAUCCGAUGUUGUUUUCAUCUGAUGUUUAUUUAUAUUGCUAGAUGCAGCUUUUAAUUUUCUCCAAACUUGUGUGACUCCCUAACUGGAGCUUUCUGCAGUAAUUGAGGUAAACGAAGAAGGUAUGAGACAUCGUUUCAUAGGCUCUUAAUUUGAUGUUUGUUUCAAUUCCAAUAUAUUAUGUUAAUUGGCUAGAUCCGAUAUAUAUAUAUAUAUAUAUAUAUAUAUAUAUAUAUAUAUAUAUAUAUAUAAUCAGUAUUAAAUAAAAGAUAUCUUAAAUUAUUAAAUUAAGAGGUAAAAUAAAAAAUAAAUAAAUUAUUCACUUCAAUAUAUUAUAUUUUACUAUGUAAUAUGUUAAAACACAUAUUUUUCUUAAUUUUAAUUUAUUUUUAACUUAAUAACUUUAAAGAUCUCUUGUUAGAACAUUACAAUAUAUAUAUAUGUAUUUCUUUUUGUGUGUUAUGAAAUCUGUUGAGAUUUUAAUAAAAAUGUUUAUAAUAUAAUUAAGAGAUUUGUUGAACAUUAAUUAUAAAAUAUACCUAAAAUUUGUGUAGAGAAAUCUACUUUCAUUUAAAAAGAAUGAGUUUAAUAAGAAUGAGAUUUAAAUUCAUUCUAAAGAAAAUUAUAUAAAAGAAAAGUGAAAAUCUUAUAUUUAAUUAAACUCAUCCUCUCAACAACCCGAAAGAUACCCAAAUGCAAGCAGUUUGGACACAAAACUUGUUAUUUUUUUUUUAAAUUUUAAAUCAGUUUUACCAAAUUACCCCUUAUGACAUGAUAGAUGAUAAGGCUUAUUAAUUUUUUUUAAAUUUUAAAUCAGUUUUACCAAAUUACCCCUCAUGAUAGAUGAUAAGGCAUGUGUAUCAUUUUCACUUUCCACCUUUCAAUUCUCACUGAUAUAUCAUUUCAGACCUUUAUACCAAAGUUCAAUCAUUUUUCAUGCUCUUGAAGUCACCAGAUCUGUCAUCCGUGAACUAGCGACUCUCAUUUCGGUACGUUACUUCUGAGAACAAGGAGUUAUAUAUGAUGUUAAUUAGCUAGAUAUAUGCGAUGUUGUUUUGAUCUGAUGUUUAUUUAUAUUGCUGGAUGCAGCUUUUAAUUUUCUCCGAACUUGUAUGACUCUCUAACCGGAGCUUCCAGGAGUAAUUGAGGAUAUAUAAGGAAGAAGGUAUGCUAUAUUAUUGUUUCACAGGCUCUUAACUUGAUGUUUGUUUUAUGCCAAUUUUGCACGUUGGAUUAAAAAUAUACAGAUAAAAUGGUCGAUAAUUUUUAAGUUCUAAAUAUUUUAUGGUGCGUUUAUUUUAUGGGAAUAGAAAUAGGCUCACGGAAAUGAAAAUAGGCUAAUGGAAAUAGGCUGAAAUGAGAAUGAGAUAAUGAGAAUAAUAUUUUAAUAUUUAUUUAGCAAAAAUAAAUUAGAAUGGGAAUGUGCUGGAAUGCCAUUAAUGUGUUUACUUGGCAAAAUAAAUGAAAAUAAGGAAUGAAAAUAAGAAUUAAUUUAUUAAAAUAUUUAUAGUAUUAAUAAUUAAUAAAAAUAAUUAAUUUAUCAUUAUUAACAAUAUUAUUAUUAUUUUUAUUAUUAAUAAAAAUAAUAUUAAUAAUAACUAAAAUAAUAAAAUAAAUAAAAUUUAAUAAUAAUAAUAUUAUUUAUUAUUAUCAAUAUUAUUAUUAUUAAAUUUUAUUAAUAUUAUUAUUUUAAUUAUUGUUAUUAUUAUUAUUAUUAACAUUUAUUAUUAUUAAAUUUUAUUUAUUUUAUUAUUAAUUAUUGUUAAUAGUAUUUUUAUUAAUUCUUAAGUCAAAGAUGGUUGGUUAGAGUCAAUCACCUCCAAGUCAGUAUUGUUGACCAUACUUUAAAAAUAAAAUUAAUUUUUCCUUGAAAUUUUUUCAUGAGUGCACGUGCAUAGGAUGUUGAAGCCGUCUAAUCUCUAAGGUCCCGUUUGGGAUUACUUUUGGGAGGGUUAAAAAUGAUUUUAAAAAUUUAAAGUUAAUUUUGGUGUUUGGUAAAAAAAAAUCAAAACCACUUUUGCCAUAAUCAGCUCCUCCUAUAGCUAAUUUUGAAAAACAGGGAAGGAGUAACUUUUAGAUUCUGAUUUUGAGAAUCAAUUUUAUCAUUUAAUAUAAUUCCAUAAAUAUCCUUAUAAUUAUUACUUAAACCCGAAAUUAUCCUUAUUUAAAUUGGAAACAAAAUCAAUAUUUUAAUAAUUUUUUAUUAUAAUUAACGCACACCUUUCGUUUACCAUAUUUCUUCAUAGUUUGUAUAACUAAAUAUACAAGGCACAAAGUUAUAAAAAAUGCUAUGUUUAUGCUGCUUGGCAAGAAGUUAAUAUGCCAAUUCCACAUUUUUAUAAAAAAAAAAAUUUAUUUGAUUCAACGAGAUAUUGUACGUGUACAUUUUUAUAUGUAUAAGUAAAUUUCAUCUUACAUUAUGUACAUUUUAGUCAUUUAUUUUUUUACAGCAGUUUAACAAUAAAAUUUACCAAACAUCCAUAACUGCUUUCAAAAUUUACAGUACUUUUAAAAAUAAAAUUUACCAAACACUUAACUUAUUCUCUUCACAGCUGAUUAUUUCAACAACACGGCUAACAGUAAUUAUUUUAAAAGCUGCAGCAUUACCAAACUAGCCCUAAUACUCUUUUCAACUGUUAUUAUGGGUGGCUUUUCAGUUUUCAUCACUCUUUCCAUAUUCCCUCAUGAAACUACCUGUCUUCACUCACAAUUCACAACGAGCUCAUCGAAAAAAUAAAUAAAUAUGGGGCGGACAAAGUUCAAAUUUAUUUUUUUGACCCUUACCUCCUCCCAGUCUUGAACCCACUACGCGAAAACCACCCCCUCGCAACGAACGCUGAGGCUUAUAUAAAUUCUAUUCAAUUUGAUGCUUGAUAUUUUUGUUUAAAAAUUUCUAAAGUAAUCUAAUUUCAAUAUAAUCCACCAUAUAGCACGUUUACCUUGCUUCUUCUCUUCUGUUUUGCAGCUAAAGUCUACUUAAAGCUCGGUGCUUGCAUUAUUUUGUUCUUAUUGAUCAAAGUUGGCGCUAAUAAACAGAAAAAAGUAAUUAAACGUUCUCCUUCGAUCUUGUGAUCAAGCCUCGUUGUUUUGCUUAUAGCGUACUGAGAUCAACUUUGUUAAUUGCAGAUAAAUAGCAGGUAUUGCAUCAAAGCUUGGAGAAUUAUUGGUGGAUGCUACCGUAAAACAAGCUCGCUAUCUGUUCUGUUUCAACAGCAUUGUUAAAGAACUUGAGGAUAAAGAAACUAAUUUGAAGGAGGCACAAGAUGGCAUCAAUGAAAGAGUAGAACAAGAACGACAAAUACACCGCGCCAUUGACAUUGAGAAAGAUGUAGAGAAGUGGCUGGCGGAUGUAGUCAAAGAAAUGGCCGAUGUCCAAACGUUGAAAGCAAAGAUAGCUGAAAAGAAGAGUUGUCUUAAUGGAUGGUGUCCUAAUUGGGGUUGCCAAUAUUGGAUGGGUAGAAAAGCAUCAAAGGAGACUAGCAAGUUGUCUAAUCUACAUGACCGCGGCAAAUUCAACACGGUUGCCCGUCCUAAACCUCUUCCAUCAGACAAAGAAAUUCCUAUUCCAAGAUUUGUUUCUUCUUUUGAGACUACACAAUUGACUUGCAAUCUGAUUAUUGAAGCACUGAAAAAAGACAGCACAAAAAUGGUGGGAUUGCAUGGUCUCGGUGGAGUAGGAAAGACAACCCUGGCAAAAUUUGUUGGCAAUCAACUUCGGCAAGAAAAGAUUUUCGAUGAGGUGGGGAUUGCCACUGUAUCUCAGGAUCCAAACAUAAUAAAUGUUCAAAGUGAGCUGGUAAAGUCGUUAGGUUGGGCGUUAGAUGAGGAUGGUGAAAAAAAGAGAGCAGACCGAUUGCGCAUGAUGUUCUCUGAGAGUAAAGGCCGCAAGAUACUCAUAAUCCUUGAUGAUGUCUGGAAAGAGCUCGACUUGGCGAUAGUAGGUAUUCCCGCCAAUUGCUGCAAAAUCCUUCUAACUACUCGCUUGCAGCAAGUUUGUGAUCGCAUGGGUUGUGACACGCGGAUUAAACUAGAUGCUCUAGACCAAGCAGAAGGAUUGGAUUUACUAAGAAAGCAUGCCGGCAUUGACGUUGCUCAUAAAACCUUGACUGAUGUUUCAAAACGAGUUGCUGAUGAAUGUAAGGGGCUGCCUUUAGCUAUUAAAGCUGUUGGAAGUGCACUAAGAGGAAGAACCGCUGAUGAAUGGAAUGUAGCACUGGAUAAACUACAAAAUGCAAAACUCGAUAAGAUAGAAGGUAUUGAUAAGGAUUCCCAGGGCGUUUACGGUUGUCUCAAAUUUAGUUAUGAUUAUUUGAAUGGUGAGGAUUCCAGGUCAUGCUUCUUGUUGUGUUCGCUGUUUCCAGAAGAUUAUAAGAUAGAUUUGGAGGAUUUGCUUGGAUAUGCAGUGGGGUUGGUUUGGUAUCAAGCUGAAUCAAUCGAAAAAGCCAGAAGCCUACUGCGUGGAACGAUCAAAGGACUCAAAGAUUCUUCAUUGCUGUUAGACACUGAUGAUGACAGAUUUGUGAAAAUGCAUGACGUAGUUCGCGAUGUAGCCAUAUGGAUAGGCUCAGAGGAGAAGAAAUUUUUUACUAGGAAAGGUAGCAUUGGAUUGGCGGAACGGGCAAGGGAAGAAGGCCUAGAACAAUACGGAGGAAUCUCUUUGGUGGGAAAUGGAAAAGAAGAGCUUCCUAGUGGUUUGGAAUGCCCUAGCCUUCAUAUUUUGCGAUUGGAGAAUACUGAAUAUGACAACAAAUUGCAAGUUCCAGAACAUUUUUUUAAAGAGAUGUCAGCAUUGAAAGUUGUCACUAUAAUAGGUGGAGUUCUUUCACUUAAAUCACUUCAAUUCCUCGCCAAUAAACUUCGAGUUCUGCAGUUGAUUCGAUGUGAGGUGACUGACGCGUCUUUCCUUGGAAAGUUAAGGACACUUCAAAUACUUUAUCUCGAGAAGUCUCCCAUUGAAAUUCCAGAUGAAUUUGGGGAUGAGCUUAGUAGAUUGAAACUUCUGUAUAUUGCUACUGCCUCUAUUUCUCCCAUUACGAUAAAUAAAUUUCCUCAAUUAGAAGAAUUUUAUGGUGUGAUAAAAAAUUGGGAGGUUGAAGGGAUGAGUUCAGAAGAAAGUUACGCUGGGCAUGCUGAGUUGAAGUCCCAACCCGACGGAUCCGUUGUAUGUCUUCCAAAAGACUUUUCAUUUCAGAAAUUACAAAGGUAUCGCAUCAGUGAAGUUGACAGCUUUGGUUAUGAAAUUGAUCGAGGGACAAGGUACUUAUCCAUUGAGAAGAACCAUCCUAAAGCGACGCUAGUUAUUUUUUCAGCAUUGUAUCCAGAAUUGGAAAAUCUUUAUCUAAAGAGGGUAAGAUGUUGUCAUAAUAUUGUGCCAAGCAUAGAUGAAAGGGGAUUAAAUGAGUUGACUGUUCUUGACGUCACCGAUUGUAAAGAUUUAGAAUGCAUAAUGGAUGCCUCUAAGUCGCCGCAUGGAAAGAGUGGGAAUCCUGUGAUGCUCUCAAGAUUAGCAAAGUUGUAUAUGUCAGAAUUACCAGAACUGAAGUGGAUAUGGAAGGCGCCCGCCCAACAUGUGAUCAGCCUCCAAUCUCUUACAGAAUUGAGUGUGUCAGAGUGCAACAACUUGACUUAUAUCUUCACGUUGUCACAAGCUCGAAGUUUGGUGCAGCUUAAAAGUCUGGAAGUGAGUUACUGCAAGAGACUGGAAUGUAUCGUCGAAGCAAAAUUUGAUCAUAAUGAAAGGGAAAUAAGUGUAGGAGAUGGAAAUACAAUAUUUGCGCUCCCUUCGUUGAUAAAAUUAAGAUUUAAAGAUCUCCCCGAACUCAUCAGCUUCUGUUCAGAAAAUUAUUAUUCAACUUGGCAGGCAUUGGAGGUGUUAGACCUAAGCAGCUGUCCUAAAUUGACCGUCAACAGUACUGAACUUGAAGCCAAUUUGCAGUAUCUUGGAGAGGUAUGUUCGCUUGUGUUUACGUUUUUUUUUCUUUCUUUUACUUUAAUUUUACUCAAAAAGAUAGUUUAUCAAAAACUUUUGUGAUCAGUCAUUCAUAUCACCUUGCAUUUGGCCGUGUUGAGAUGAAUAUGAAUCAUGGUGGUGGUAAUGGUGAUGAUGACAAUAAUAAUGAUCCAGAAUCUUGAGUAAAUUUCUUUAUUUUACGACCUAAAAUUCAUUCUUCAAAUAAAAGUCGUAUCUUGUUUUACUUUAUAAAAAAACUGGAUGCAAGCACUUGUAAAGUAUAUAUAUUAUUAGUCCAAUUCAAUUCAUUAGUUAAUUUAACCAUAGAGAUAGAAUACUAAUUUUUCUCAAACAAACAGAUGUCACUGCUAUAUCACUUCACAUGAUCUCUUUCAACGAAUUUCUUUUUUUUUUUAUAAAUUCCUUACUUUCACAGAGUAUAAUUAUUUUAUAAGUUUACAUGUGUAGUAUUAUAUUUUUGUGUGGAUUUUUUUAAGUAUUUGUCGCUUAAUUGUCAAUUUGACAAUCCUAGCCGCUAACAAAUUUCAAUUACAUCAAGUUAUUUAUUUAUUUGUCUCAGAAAUUACGAAUUCUACAAGUAGGCAAAUGCACCCAUUUGCGAGACACAAUUGACGCUCUGUUGAAGCAUGGCUUUAAAAAUUUGGAAGAAUUGGGGAUUGAAGAACUUGGAGUACAUGUGGCAUUUCAAGUGGAAGCUAUUAUCGCUGAGGGACAAGAAAACAAACUAUUCCCAUGUUUGAAGACGUUGUGGUUGGAAAACCUUCGAGAACUGCAAGUAUUAUUAUAUCAUGAAGGUCCCGCGCAUAAUUUUAGCUUGCAAAAUCUUACCGAAUUAACUGUAAUGGGGUGCACUAAGCUGAGACGUCUCCUCUCAUCAACACUUGCUCGAAAUCUGUUGCAAUUGGAGGUGUUAGACGUUCGCGAUUGCUGGGAAUUAGAGCAAAUCAUUGAUGAGGAUCAGGAUCAGGAUCAUCUGCAACCUGUAUGUUUCCCAAAACUCACAAGGAUCGAUGUCAGUAGUUACCCCAAACUAAAGCAUCUAUUUCAUAUCAGUGUAGCUCCAAGUCUUCAAAAACUGGAGAACCUAUACAUAGGAUUUAAUGAUGAAUUAGAAGAAGUAUUCUGGCAUAAAGAUGGAGCAGACGUCACGGAUUACAAUGAAAUUGUUAUGAAUGAACUUCUAGACAUGAGACUGGUAGACUUACCAAACCUCACCAACUUUUGGCCUGCGGGUUAUCACAUCCCAUUUCCAUCUGCAUCCCAUAAAGCUGUUCGUAAUUGUCCCAAGCUUCGUGGAAAUUCAGAAGGAGAUAGAUGAUUCCAAGAAUUCUGGAGCACAGGUCAACUCUUGAGAACUUUAGUUAAUUGAUUCUAUACAUAGUUGGUUCAUGUUUUCGUUUGUGAUAGCUAAUUGAUCUAUCCUAAAAUCAAAAUUUCUCUUUCAAUAUAUAUAUAUGUGUUAUAUUAUAAUUUUCUCUGUUUGUUUUUUUUUAAAAUCAUUUUAUUCAUCAUUCAUUCGUAUUUAAUGCCCAAUUUAUUGGUUGGAUAUAUAGGCACAGCAAACCACAGACGAGGAGACGCCAAUGAAGACGCCAGCGAAGAAGAAGAAAAAGAUGGCAGCGAACAUAAAUGACUUUAAAAAAUUCCAAAAAUCCAAAAAAAAAAAAAGAUUUGUUCAGCGUGUUCAGUUCACCCAAGAAGCUAACAAGCUUUGUUCUAUACUUGCUCUGCAGAUGGAUGGUUAAUAUUUAGUCCGUGCUCAAAUUGUGAAGACUAAAUAUUAACAAGCUUUGUUCUAUACUUGCUCUCAAGAUUUGCUCAACUUCAAAAUUCACCUCUUCUGUUUGUGAUCAUUGUUUCUUCAAUUGUUGAAAUUUUGACAAAAUUGCUGGCUAAAUUGAUGGCCUUUUCGAUGGGCAUUAAUUGGGCUAAUUUAGUAGUAGCGCGCAUUUUCUAGACGGCGAAGAAAGUGUGUAAUGUUGUGACAGCAAUAAUUUUUAUUUUUUAAGUUUGCGAGAGUAUUGGAUAUUUUGGGAUUUUAGGAAGUGAGACUUCAUCAACUCAUAAAUGAGUGGCUACAAAUGUGUCUUUCGCGUUCUCUAGUACCCCGUACCUUUUGACUAGAGAUGGCAAAAGUCCGGGUCGGGUCCGGGUUUGGGGCUGCCCGGGACCGACCCGGAUAUCAAAUGUAGCUACCCGGACCCGCACCGUGCCUGGAAUUUUUCUAUGCGGGCCGGGCACGGGUUUUUUCCGGGUUUUCUCUACCCGAAUUUGAGUGGUGAAUGGUGAUGAAUUUGAGUGGUCAUAAUAUAUGAGACAAAAUCAGAAACGCACAUAUUACAUAUAGCUUCGAAAUUCACUGCAAACCCAACUUGCAAAAACCAUCAUUUCUCACAACACGCACAUAUUACAUAUAGCUUCGAAAUUCACUGCAAACCCAACUUGCAAAAACCAUCAUUUCUCACAACACACAAAAAUUAAAAGGCAAAUCACACGCCAAAAAAGAAUAAAUAAAAGGUGUCAAAACAAUUGUUUACUUCUAAAUUCUAACAAACCAUAACAGUCCAAAAUCAAAACAUCUUAACUAUAAGCAAACAUCUAAUGGAAUUAUCAAAAUUAAAAAAAGGAAAAAAUUCUAUAAUAAAUUAUUACAACAUCUUAACUAUUUCAAUUUCAAUCUACUUUAUAAAUUUAAGUAAAUAACAAAUAAAAAUCAUUUCAAUCUAUUAUCCACUACCUAAAUUUAUUCAAUUUCUAAACUAAAUUCAUUCAAUCCCUAUAAAAAAUUUAAAUUGAACAUCACAAUAAUCACCAAAUAAAUCUAAAUAAAUGUAGCAUACUAACACCCAACAUAUUACAUAAUACAUAUCAUAAUAACUCCAAUAUCAAUAACCAACAUAACAUAUAAAAAUCCCAAAAUAUCAAACACACAUAAUUCAUAAAAGAGUUUAAAAUAACAGAUUAUGUCAAACAGCUCGACGAUUGUGCCCCAUCAUCAUCAUCAUCAUCAUCUGAAAUUAACUCCUCCCCAGCAAAAAUCUCAUUUUCCGGAACUCCACCUAAUAACAAAAAUAACAGAUUAAGAUUUAAAAACAUUUUGAGCAAACAAAUAAUACGAUAACAUAAUUCAAAUAACUUUAUACCUCGAGAAGAAGCCCAAAUCCAAUUUUGAGCACACAUUAAGGAUUCCAAAGUGUUAGGAUUAAGUCUACUACGAUGCGGACUCAGAGGCAACAGUGGAUACAUGAAUGGCUAAGAUAUCCUUGGCCAACUCGCCAAAAAUAGGAUAUUGGCCUGUGUGCAUCUUCCAAAAAGCUAAAAUAUCAAAGUUCGGAAUAAUAUCCAAUAAUUCAUCAUCUAAAUACCUAUCCAACUCCGACUUAGUCACCUUAACACGCUUAUUUUGACUUCGAAAUAUUUCAAACUCAUCUACAUCCCAAUACUUAUUCGCAUUCGAAGAAGAUUCCAAAGGAACAUCAUCCAACCCAACAUCCUGCCUAUCACUCAAAACCAUAGCUUUCAUUUCAUAUUCUUUCACUAAAUCAUGACAAAGCUUAUGUGCAUGCUCAAUAUGCUCAUCCGCUGUAUCACCAUAGAUCUUUGGGAAAUAAAAAUCAAUCAACAACAUCUUAUAUCUCGGAUCAAGAACUACAGCCACAACUAACAUCGGAUGAAUUUCAUUCCAAUAUUUUUCAAAUUUAUCAACCAUUUUAUCAGCCAUAAUUCUAAUAGCAAGAUUAUCGGAAGUGCGCCACCCAUUAAUCGACAUUUUCAUUUUACAUAUUAACGGAAAGAACAAAUUAGCAGUAGGGUAUUUUGUACCCGAAAACAUCUCCGUUAACAUGUAAAAUGAUUUCAAAUGCUCCACCAUUGUGGCUGCCAAAUCACACUCACUAUCACUAGGCAAGCUCUUAUAUUGAGACUCACGCUGUUGUAGCCGAGAAAAAACACUUUUAUACAUUAGUGCUACAUCAAGCAUGGCAUAAGUAGAAUUCCAACGAGUUGGACAAUCUAACUUCAAACUUUUUUUACAAUUAAUUUUCAGUUGCCUAGCAGCUAGCUCAAAAGAUUCAAAUCGUUUUGGUGUUUGUGUCCAGUAACUAACACUCUCCCUAAUCUUUCCAACCCCGUUUUCUAUAACUUUCAACCCAUCCCGCACAACCAAAUUCAGUAUAUGAGCAGUACAUCUCAUAUGAAAAAUUUACCAUUGGAAAUUAAGGUACCGAGAUCAAACCUUAAUAACAAUUUCUCCACCAUCGCGUCAUUAGUGCUACAAUUAUCCAAGGUCAUUGAAGACAACUUUCUAUCCACGUUCCAAUCCAACAAACAUUGCACCAACUCAUUAGAAAGGGCCUCAGCAGUAUGAGGGCUCGGAACAUAAAUAAACCUAACAAAUAUUCAAGUGAUAAUAUUAAAUACACAAACUUAAAAUAUUAUAACAAUUUAAACUUAAAAGAAAUCAAAUAUAAGUAAUAAAAAAUUGAAAGAAAAAUUAAGCAAAUAAAAAGUUAUAGACAAAUUAGAAAUUACCUUAAAAUUCGGUUAUGCAAUUUCCAAGAGUUGUCAAUAAAAUGUGCUGUGACAACCAUGUAUCCUUUUUUCUGGUUACUUGCUAUCCAUAAAUCCGUAGUAAUAGCCACUCUACCUUGAUUUUUCUCCAACAUAUGCAAAGUCUUAAUCUUCUCAAUAUGAUAAAGUUUCGAAAUCUCACUCUUUAAUGUAUUUCUACUCAUUGGCUUAACCACGGGGUUGGUAUGUGCCAUCAUUUCUCUAAAGCCUUUAUAUUCCACAAAUUUAAGUGGAAGCUCAUGCAUCACCACCAUCCUUGCGAUCAAACUCCGCAAAACUUUUGGAUUAAAACUAUCAAAGCCAAUGUCACAACUCCCAUCCUCUCUUUUGAGCACUUUGAGACUUCCUUGAAGUGCUUCUUGUAUUUUCGGUUGACUCCUCGAAAAACAAGAUUUCACGUGCCUAUUCAAGCUCGUGGUCCCUAAUGUGUAUUUGGCUUCUAAAAAUGCAUUACAGUGCAUGCACUUUGCCUUUUUUUCUCCAUUAAUAGUUACUUUUGUAAAGUGAUCCCAAGCUGUAGAGACUUUCUUUCCCUUUUUAUCUUUAAGAGUUGACAGUGAAAUCUCCUCAACCUCAUUAUCAUUGCUAUCUUCAAAAUUCCGAGAUAAAUUUGGAGCAUUUGACGAAUUAAUUUCUAUAUUGUCUGACUGUGACUGUGACUGUGACAUCGCACUGCUGUUUAUUAUAAAAAAAAAUAAUGAAUAAUUAUAAAUAAUCAUGCAAAUUACAUAGUUAUAAUAUUAUAUAACAAAAUUAACUUACAAGCAACCUAAAUUAACUUACAACCAACCUAAGCAACCUAAUAAAGCAAAGAAGAAAGACCAGACAGAUAAAUAAAUAAACAACUGAGAAAUUUCUGGAGCAAUUGCAUGAACAUGACCACAAUACAAAGAAAAUUAACAGGUUUAAUUAAUUAAUAGACUGAAGCAAGUAUUUUGUCACUGUCUGAUUAUAAUUAGAAAAUAUUGUAUAGUUUUAAAUUUGUGUUUUAAAAUAUAUAUACAUGCCUGCACAGAUAUCAAACUUAUCUCAUUCUCAACUAAGCAAACUUGUUAGUUUGGUAACAAUCAUGCUUAUUUCGCCACUAGGCCGUAGUUGAGUGGUGAAUCCAUGUCUUUAUACUAGUGAAGGUAUAUAAGGUAAGGAUUAAAAAAGAAAAAAGAAAAAAAACAAUAAACACCAUUUGAAUAUUCCCCUGGUCACAAGUCUUUUGGUUGCGAUUGCAUUGUACUUUAGUCCCAGUAGCUGAAAUUUCCCACUUUACAGAAAUUCUUAAUGUGAGCCAAUUCUUUUUUAGUUUUUAGAUGGCCCCUGGUGCAUAAUCACAAAUAUGCAGAAGAGAUACUUGCCAGUACUACUCACUUUGCAAGCUUACGAAAUGAACAUAUAUAAUUUAUGUUAUCACAAUAUUAAAGUAAUUAUCACUACAGCUCAUGAUCACCACAUACAAGUUACUUAUCAUUUCUUAAAAGUGCUGCUCACACAGGAAAUAGUGUUCCAUUUGAGGUUCAUAGCCUCUUUGGUUCAAGUCUAGCUAGCUGCAACUUAAACAGGAAUUAAUGCCAGAAAUUGUUCAAUUGAUCAGCUGUAAAUUGUGAACUAUGAGCUAUAUCAAAACGAUUGCAGUUUGCAGAUAAAUGAGAUCAAACGUAUUCCAAACGAAACACCCAUAUGAAAUAGAAAAACUACUACAACAGCAUAAUGAGGGUGUUUAACAUUAGCUCUUUCUUAUUAUGUUCUGUGCAGCCAUUAACAACGUAAACACUUCCAGCAUCCAAGAAAAUAAUUAAGCACAUAUUGAAAGCAAUUUCAUCAUUUUUUUUUGAAAAAACAGCCAAAAAAAAAAUUACCUCGUGGGUCGUGGCUGUGGGUUGCAGGCUUGCAGCUGAUAUGGUGACAAAACAAUGGAGUGAGAGUGUGAGACCAACUAUGGUGGCGAACGCCGUCGCACGGUGGCUGCCGCUGAGAAGCUAACCAAACAGUGAAGAGCUCUUUGACGGACUGACGAGUGACGACUGUGCUUUGCGGUUCGUGGAGGGAGAGGCGCGGUCACUGUCAAUACUGCAUCGCCAUCGGUGAAGGAUAGGUGGUGGCUGCUGGUAAUGGUGGAGAGACGAAGGGAGGAGGUGCCGAUUCUGAUUUCUGAGACUUGUCUCGAAUUCGCGAUUUAGGGUUGGUUGGCCGGUUGGGUUUGGGGGAAAUUGGGUAAAGGAAAAAUGCAAUUUUCGUUUUAUAUUUUCCUCUUUUUUUUUUACUUAAUAAAAAAGCGGGCACGGGUCCGGGUUCCGGGUAUUUGGUGCUGUGACCCGACCCGUGCCCGGAAACUGCCGGGCAUUGAAAAUCAAUGCCCGGAUCCGCUUUUUUCAUGCAUGCGGGCCGGGUUUUACCCGGACCGCGUGUGCCGGGUCCGGUCCGGAUCCGGUCCGGGCGGGCUUUUCUGCCAUCUCUACUUUUGACAGCCACGCAUUCUUCUUGGCUCGUGGAAACUGGAAACUCAUUUUCUCAAAUAAGACUUUGCUUUUAUGCUACAAGCCUACAAGUGCUUUUAAUAAUUAUUUUGUUAGGAGAAUCGGUGCCUGCUUUGGAGCCCAACCCAUCAAGAAAUAUUAGUGAAAUUUUUUUUAUUAUUUAGUGUAAUGGCAAACCAAUUUUCUUUUCAAAUUCUAAAUCUUUUGUAUUUAUAUCAAAAAAUUUUAUUAUCUCUAUUAUAUGGCACCCACAUAGUAAUUAGUGAAUAUAUAAUGACAACUGGAAAUCAUGGCUAGUUUUAGAAUAUUGAACAAGGUUACUAUUUAUAUAUAGAUAAUUGUUCAGAACAUAAGGCAUGUAAUUUUUUUUAUUUUUCAAAUUAAUAAAUAGAUAAAUAAGAAUUGAGGUGCCGAAUUCUUAAUUAAUUAGUUGUUCCAGUCUUGAAUAUCCAUUAAUGUUAAUGUGGAAUGUGCAUUUGAAAGAGCAUUUUGUAAAAUGAUUUUACUAAGCUAGGUUUUUUUUUAAUGAUAUUUAAGUUCAUUUUUUCUAUUUUUUUCUCAAAGCAUUUCAAUCAUUUUUCGUUUCACAAAUCAUUCAAUUAUGGAUAGGGUUAUUUACACUCUAAAUAUUACUUUAAACAUUCCACUACUCUACACACUCAUACAUAAUUUAUAGAAAAAUUAUGUUUUACUUUAUAUACUCUUUCAAAUUCAAAAAAUAUCAUAUCUUAAACUAUUUAAGUUACUCAAACUUUAUUUCAUAAAUAGUACAAUGAUAACAUGAUAAUAUUUCAUAAAUAGUGCCCAAAAAAAAAGAUAAAGAAGGAGAUGAAGAAGACAAAGAGAUGAAGAAGAAGGGCCAAAGCAAAUAUAAAAAAUUUCUUUUAUAUUACUUUUGUUUUAUUUUAUUUUUAAAAAUAAAAAAUAAAAUACAUACUUUGGUCUAGCUGAGUAGCUGCUUGCUUCCUCGAGAUCACAUGCAUGUUUCACUAAUUUGCUUUUGUUGCUUCACUUGCCACCUCAUGCUUGACGCCUCUUUCUUUUUUGCUUUAUUCGUGAAUAUAUAUAUAUAUAUAUAUAUAUAAGGUUUAAAUACAAUGGAUACUACUUCAUUUUUCAUAUUUUUGGAGAAGCCGAAAUCAAAAGCAAAACAGAGAGAAGAAAAAGAAAUCGGGAGAAAGAAAGAAAAGGAAAGGAAAAGAGAAAGAAAAAGAAAAGAAGAAAAGAAAUAAAAGAAAACAGAGAAGCCAAGAGUGAAGAAAAAUAGAAAAAUGAAAGAAAAGUAGAAAGCAGAUUGAGAAGCCGAGAGUCAAAAAGAAGUUAGAAAAGAGAAAUUGAGAAGAAACUUUAAGAAAAUGAAACUAUGCAGUUAGAUUAAUAUUUAGUGAAUUAGUGAGCAAUAGAUAUAUAAAGUUUAAAUAGCUAUAUUACAGUUUUCAUGAUACAUAUCGGGUAUUUUAUUAAUUAUAAUAGUUAAUUUUUGAACCCUGUGUUUUAGGAGAAAUUCAUGUUUCCAGAAACCCACAAGAGCUUGAACGAACCCGACAGUAAACUAGACUCUGUGAAUGGAUACUAUUAUUACUAUUAUGCAUUUUAUGAAGCAUUUAUGUUUUAUAGUAUAAUUUAAUAUAUGUUAUAAUUAUAUGCACAAAUUUUAUAUAUUUGAUUGAUUCAUAAAAUGUAAUUGUCAAUCACCAUAUAUGUAUUCUUUCACAUCAGCUCUGUACAUGCAGAUUGAGAGUUAGGUUACUCUACCCGUAUAAUGUAGUUAAAUUCAGCUAGUAUUGAGAGGUUUUUCCCCUGCCUACUCGUGCGAUGACGAUUUUGGUGAGUAUUAAGAGUUAUUUUCUCUGAGUACUAUUUGUUGCAGUUUUUCCAUUUAUAUAUGUAUGAUUUUAUGUCAUACGAUUAUGUAUGAGCUCUAGUGCAUUACUUUAUAUAUAUAUAUAUAUAUAUAUAUAUAUAUAUAUAUAUAAUUAUAUUCACUCACUGAAUCGUAAACUCACUAUUCUCCUAUUUAUCUCAUUUUUCCUAGGUCUUGGUUGGAUUUCAUGCAAUUCGAUUUUUAAUCAAUUGAGGUUAUGCCAUGACACACAUUGCUGCAUGACUUGCAUUUUGAGCACGUUUAUGUCCAUAUGUAUAUAUUUAAGAUAUAUGUGUAUAUAGUGAGUUUUAAAUUGUACGAAAUUUGAAUAUGUUUAUUAUAUGUUUAUAGAAAAGGCCAAUGCCAUUUUUAUAUAUCCAUGAAUUAGUUUAUGUCGUGAGUUUUAAAUAUUAAACCACGUGAUUCUCCUCGAAUCCGACAUAUGGGUCGGGCGGGUUGUGUCAUUCAUCCACCAUGAUUUUACAAUUUAUAUCAUUCAUCCAAAAUAUCUUUAAUUUCCAAUAGAAAAUUGACAAAACCAUAGCAAAUUGAUCAUUUUGCUCUUAAAAGCCAAUUUAACGUAAAAAGACAAAGGAAAAUUAUCAACCACAUACUUUUAGUUUACCCUGUUAUUGAAAACACUUAAAAGUUUGAAUUUAUUUAAUUUUUUACUCUAAAUUUAUAAUUGAUAUCAACUACCCACAAAAAAUGUUAACACUGUUAGAAUAUUUUAUAGAAUUUAAAUAAAGGUCAUUUUAUCCUUGGAUUCAAGGGCAUUUUUCAAUUUGCACCAUAAAUAAUAAAAUAAAAUCAAGCUUUUUAUAACUAUUAAAUUGAAUUUGAGGAUUCGAUUGAUUGGGUGCUUAUCAAUUAGGGUUUAGAGUAAUUAGUGGAUUUAGUUUGAUUAUGUGAAUUUUUGAAGAUAAAUUUAGAAAAUAAAUUAGAUUUUUUUUAAUUAAGAAAAAAUAGAGUUUUAAGUAUAUUUAAUUGAAUAUUGGUUAUAAAAAAUGGUUUUUUAUUUUGAUAUUGAAAGCUAUUAUUUUAUUUUUUAUUUAGCAUAUUAAAUGUUUAAAUUAUCCUUGUGACGUCAUUAAUUAUAAAUGGCAGAUGAUAUUUUGGUGGAUAGCUAACAAAUUAUAAACUCAAGUUGGAAAAUUGAACAAAUUCAGAUUUUGUAGUAAUUUUUAUAGCAUGGUAAACUUAAGUUGGAUGUCUGAUAAUUUCUCUUUUAUUUUUUAUCCAGUAUGUUGAAUGUCUGAAUUAUCCUUGUGGCGUCAUUACUUUUUUAGCAAAAGCGAAUGAUUUGGUGGAUGAAUGAUGCAACUUGUAAGUGUUGUAUUUUUAUGACAGUACAAUUCAAGGGUGGACGGUUAAUAAAUUCCCAAGUUUAUAAGUUCAUAAAAAUAGUUUUAACCAUUUUACUAUCUUUUUUUCUUUGAAUAGCUUUACAAAUGAACACAAUAAUAAACAUUACGUUUGGCACAUAUGUUAUUUUCUUCGAGUUUGCUCAUCAAUUCAAAGUGUUAUCGCACAAGUUACUUGUAAUAAGAUAUAAAUGCAACACUAAGUCAUAAAAGAGAUGAAUAAUUGAACCAAAAAAAAUUGAGAUCAUUUCCUUCUUUUAUGUUGAGGUUUCAAGCCAUCGCCAACAAGAAACCACACGGUUAUAUCAAAGAACAAGCUUAAUAACAAAACUAGAAAAAUCCUUUCACAGGAGGUUGACAUCACAGCCUUGUGAUUGACAAAGAUAGCUUCCCUCGUGCUGAGCUCGAGCUCAAAGCAUGGACUGAAGAUGGGCUCGUAAUGGCUGCCGGUCACAAGAAAUAUAAGCAUCUGCUUGGGAUUCAGUUUCAUCUGGACAGCAUUCUUACCAGCGAAGGCAAGACAAUUGUUCGCAAUUUUAUCAACAAUCAUUCAGAUAACGCCAAUUCAGUAUAACUAAUCUAAUAGUUAUAAGUAUUUAUUUAAACUUAUAAGUGUUUUUUAGAUUUUUUAUCAUUAUUUAGUUAUUUUUUAGUAGAACUUUUGAGAUUAAAUAAAUUAUUUUACCUCCACUAAUAAAAACUUAAAUUUUGAGCCAUUUUUUUAAAAGGUUAGAAUGUUUAAAAUAUUAUUUAUUUAUUAAAUAAAUUAUUUUAUUUUUUCAUAACAUAACUUUAAAAAAUUAUUAAUUAAAGUAAUUUUUUAAUUUUUAAUAAAAACUACCAAGGAGAAUCAAAUAACUACAAUUUAUUUUUAAAAGAAAUAUACUAAUAAAAAUAUUACUUAAAUAAACUUUGUUUUAAAAAAAAUACUAAAUAGAACCUUAGGCUAAAAAAACUUAUUUUAAGCCCAGCUAAAUAGAACAAGCCAGAUAUUGAACAGCUCCUGUUUUGGCGCCAAUAUUGGUAUGGAUCAAUGCUUACACUAUUAACUAAGGAUUAUUUUGCAACAAUACUAAUUAAUCCCUUACAUAUAACGAGUCAUAUUCAUGUCUGGAUGCUUGGAUUUAAUAAAUUCAAAUUAUUAGAAUCAGAGUUAUACAGCACCUGAUUCUAGUUCUUGAUUUUGUAAAAUCACGACGUCCGAACCUAGGCAUCCUUUUGCUUGUAAUAACGAAAAAUUGCAUUCGUUGUAUUGUAAUUAUAGGGUUUUGGUCGCUGUUUUCACAGUUGGUGAGAGGGUGGGCGAUACCUUUAUUUCAUGGUAUGUGUAUUUUUAUGAAUAACAAUACUAUUAGUACAACGUCACGUGACAGUAUUGCGCAUUAACUUGAAGGUAAUACUAAGUUAAUGGUUCAUAUAUCUUUGGUAUCCCAAAACAAAAGUAAUAAAUCUGCAUUAAUUCAUCAUCUUUUCAGUACUCUGUAAAAUUUCUGAUUCAAAUUAUUUAUAAAGUUUCAGCUUUUAAUAUCUUCUGGGGACAGAUUAUGUUAUAUAAUGUUUUAUUGCGGCCUUAUGUUGCAAAACAUGAGAAAGAAAUUGAUCUUAAUUUGUUAAAGAUGAGAAUUAAGGCCAGGGACAUAAGUCUUCUGUUUUGGGAGAAGGCUGCCAUUUAUGGGCAAGCAAGGUUUUUUGAGAUUUUGCAAUACUUCUCUUCUCUGUCUCACUCUGAUCAGGUAAUUGAACAACAUUUUGUAAUCUAUUUUGCUGUCAAUUUUCUCAUUAAGAGACAAAAAAUGUUUUGUUUUGGGAUUUAUGAAAAACGACAGAAAAGUAAGUGGAAAAAAAUAAAAGAAAUUAUAGUGAAUUUUCUUGUUAUAUUACAAUAUAUAGGAAGCAAGUUAAACUGUUUUUUAUUCUGCUGCAGCAGCAUCAACAAGCUACGGAAGAAGUUUUUUCAAACAUUAAUAUGAGGCUGCUGCUAAAAUGGAAACAGUGCCAGUAUCAUCAUCUUUCCAAGAUGGCAAUUUAAUUAAUUCCUUCAAUCAAAACGGAGUUUCCACUGAUCAAGCUAUCCCGCAAUCAAGAAGCAAAUGGACGUUGUUCAGGACUGCAGCAGCAAGCCAAUAAUAAAGCCCUUGUAUUUGUCUUGUGCCAUUAUGAAGAUGAUUUAUAUACGUAGAAGAUGCAAAUUGAACACCAAUUAAUAGUUAAUUAGUCUCCAUUGUUUGCUUGCUACCAAUUUUGUAUCAUAUCAAUCUCAUGGGACUAUUGAUUAACAAAAUAUAUAGUGCGUAGUAGUGACAGGGGACUUUCAGUUAGAAGAAAAUUGUAACAUGCAAUAGUCAAUAACACGUUUAAAUUGUAGCAUGUACUAACUUACCUAAAUUGUCUAUUCAUUUUUAUCCACGUGUAGAGAAUUAACUAAUCAACAAAUUAAUCUGUGACACGUUUUUGUAAUUGCAUGCCGAUCAUUUUUUAUAAGGUAAUUUAAUGCGCGAUACAACCAUUUUAGGCACGAGGUUCGGAAGUACUUCUCAUUGUUAUUAAUUAUGAAUUAGGAUCCCACUUUAUAUUGUUAUCUACUAAACUACUAAUCACUCAUAUGAAGAAGCGGCUCAAAUCUAAAGAAAAUCAUAAUCUAUUAAAUAAAUGACGAGUUAUCUUAAAGUUCAAUCUAAUUGAUUUUGCCAUCUAUAGUAGAAACAACCAGUCAAGUGCUCAAUUUUUAGAGGAUUAAAUUAUUUACACUGUAAAAAUUAUUCUGAACAUUUAUUAUUUCAUACAACCAUUCACUUAAUUUUAAAAAUUAAGAUUUUAUUUUUUUUUGCUUUUUUAAUUUGAGUAUAUCUUAAUUAAAUGAAAGUCUAAAUAGCUCUGAAUGUAUGUGCUUGAGGACAUAUUUGCUUUUUUAUGACUAAAUGUAAGUGUUAAAUUAUUUGUCUUAUAAGCACAAAAAAAAUGAAUUAUGAUAUUUUGACAUUUAUGUCCCUAUAAGUAUUAAUAUAUAUUUGAUAAGUUAAAGAUGGUAAGUAAAUUAAAAUCAUUUUAUUAUUAAUUAUAAAAUAUCUAUUUUUUUCAAUAUAUACAAUGUUACUGCUAAAAAAGGUACAAUGUUAAUUACAUUAUUUGUGUGUAUGAUAUGAUUUUUUUUUUCGUUUAAUCACACAAGUUGACAUAAAAUCAAUUAACAAUUUCAAGUAAAAUAGCAUUUUACAUAUAUUAUUAAUUGUAAAAGUUAAAAUAAUUAAGGAAUAAAAACAACGGCUACAUCCUAGCCCAUUAAUUUUUGUUAAAAGUUUUGUUCAAAAUGAUUGUUAUAAAAAAAUAGUUGUUAAAAAAAAAAGAGCCCGAGAUGAGUACACGACGUAACGGCAACUGAAAAGAGUAAAAUAUAAAUGAGUUAUGUUUGAUUAAAAAUAACGUAUUAAAUAGGAGUAUUUUUUAGCUAUUAUAAUUAUUUUCGUUCAAACUUUUUUUAAUUCAGAUAAAAGUUAAGUUGUUUAAUUUUGUCUAUUAAGUAGUAUAUUCUAGAAUUUAGAUAAAAUAUGAAAAACAAACUAGUAAACUUAAAAAAUGUCUCACUUCAUACAUUUAAAAAACAAGCUUUAACUUUUACUUUAUACACUUUUUAAAAUAUCUAAAAAAAUCCUUACUAAUUAAAUCAUUGUAGUUAAUUUGUAAAUAAAUUCUUUUUAACACAAUUUGAAUAUCCUCGAAUCGUAUCUUUUCUGCCUUAUGAUAUUAUUGUGUUAAAAAAAUUAAAUGGCUUCUGCUACGGAUGUUUUUCCCGCGCAUUUGGUUUAUUUUCCUUUAAAUUGUUGCAUCUUGCAACUCUUCAGCAACAGAGUUUACUUAUCUCGUUUUCAUUCGCUUGAAUCAAGAAACAAUUGUGUAAAAUUGUAAGAUUAAGUAAAUAAAUAAACUCGAACAUAAGUUUAGUUAUUAUUAUGAACCAGAAGUUUUAAGUAUAAGAAUUAUAAAUCAUUAUUACAUUAGUUAUAAUAGAUUAUUCAUUUGUUCAUAACAAUAAUUCAUGUGAUGAGAAUUUUUUAAAUAAAUUAUUUUAUUUAAAUAAAAAUAUUCGAAAUAAUUUUUAAAAUAUAAAUACCUUACUUAUUUAAAAGAAAAUAUUAUAUUCAGGCAUGCGAAGGCUACAUUCAAUUGGAUUGACACUCAACCCUCCCACUAACAAAAAGUGUAGGUAUAGAAAAAACUCAACCAAAGAUAUGUUAAAAAGAUAUAGAUAUAUAGAUAUUUAGUACAAUGGAACUCUUAACAAGAAAUAAGGACGGAUAAAACAAGGAUAAACAACCUCGUACAUAUCAUGUGUGAGAAAAGGGAGAAAAUUAGUAUGGGGUCAUUAAAAAAUCAAAAUGGUGACAUUCCAAUUUUUUAUAGAACAAAGCUUAUUUUUAGCUCCUUGCACGAACUGAACACGUUGGACAAAUUUAUUUAUUUUUUUUGGAUUUUUGGAAUUUUUUAAAUUCAUUUAUGUUCACUCCCAUCUUUUUCUUCGCUGGCGUCUUCAUUGGCAUCUCCUCGUCAGUAGUUUGAUGUGCCUAUACAUCCAACCAAUAAAUUGGGCAUUAAAUACGAAUGAAUGAUGAAUAAAAUCAUUAAAAAAAAAAACAAACAGAGAAAAUUAUAAUAUAACACAUAUAUAUAUUGAAAGAGAAAUUUUGAUUUUAGGAUAGAUCAAUUAGCUAUCACAAACGAAAACAUGAACCAACUAUGUAUAGAGUCAAUUAAUUUAAAGUUCUCAAGAAUUACCUCUGCUCCAGAAUUCUCGGAAUCAUCUUCUCCUUAUGAAUUUCCACGAAGCUUGGGACAAUUACGAACAAGAACUCUAUAGGAUGCAGAUGGAAAUGGGAUCUGAUAACCCGCAGGCCAAAAGUUGGUGAGGUUUGGUAAGUUUAUCAGUUCCAACUUCCGAAGUUCAUUCAUAACAAUUUCAUUGUAAUCCGUGACGUCUACUCCAUCUUUAUGCCAGAAUACUUCUUCUAAUUCAUCAUUACCUAUUAUGUAUAGGCGCGACAGUUUUUGAAGACUUGAAGCUACGCUGAUAUGAAAUAGAUGCUUGAGUUUUGGGCAACUAAAGACAGAGAUCGAUGUGAGUUUUGGGAAACAUACAGGUUGGAGAUGAUCCUCAUCCUCAUCCUCAUCAAUGAUUUGCUCUAAUUCCAAGCAAUUUGAAAGAAUUAACUCGUCCAAUUGCAACAGAUUUCGAGCAAGUGCUGAUGAGAAAAGACGUCUCAGCAUAGAGCACCCGUCCACUCUUAAAAAGGUAAGACUUUGCAGGCUAAAAUUAUGAGUGGAACCUACGUGAUAUAAUAAUACUUGCAGUUCUCGAAGGUCUUCCAAUUGCAACGUCUUCAAACAUGGGAAUAGUUUGUUUUCUUGUCCCUCAGCGAUAAUAGCUUCCACUUGAAAUACCACUUGUACUCCAAGUUCUCCAAUAUACAAUAUUUCCAAAUUUGUUAAGCCAUGCUUCAACAGUGCUGGAAUCGUGUCACUCAAAUGGGAGCAUUCGCCUACUGUUAGAAUUCUUAAUUUCUGAGACAAAUAAAUAAAUAACUUGAUGUAAUUAAAAUUUGUUAGCAGCUAGGAUUGUCAAAUUGACAAUUAAGCGACAAAUACUUAAAAAAAAAUUACCUACAAAAAUAUAAUACUACACAUGUAAACUUAUAAAAUAAUUAUACUUUGUGAAAGUAAGGAAUUUAUAAAAAAGAAAAAGAAAUCCGUUGACAGAGAUCAUGUGAAGUGAUAUAGCAGUGACAUCGUUUUGUUUGAGAAAAAUUAAUAUAGUAUUUCUAUGGUAAAAUUAACUAAUGAAUUGAAUUUGACUAAUAAUAUACAUACAUUACAAGUCCUUGCAUCCAUUUUUUUUUAUUAUAGAGUAAAACGAGAUAUGAAUUUUAUUUAAAAAAUGAAUUUUAGGCCCUAAAACAAAGAAAUUUGCUCAAGAUACUGGAUCGUUAUUAUUAUCAUCACCACUACCACCACCGUCAUCUUCAUCUCAACACGCCAAAUGCAAGGUGAUAUGAAUGACUGAUCACAAAAGUUUUUGAUAAACUAUCUUUUUAAGUAAAAUUAAAGGAAAAGAAAGAAAAAAACGUAAACACAAGCGAACAUACCUCUCCAAGAUACUGCAAAUUAGCUUCAAGUUCAGUACUGUUGACGGUCAAUUUAGGACAUCUCUUUACAUCUAACUCUUCCAAUGCCGGCCAAGUUGAAUAAUAAUUUUCUGAACAGAAGCUGAUGAGUUCGGGGAGAUCUUUAAAUCUUAAUUUUCUCAACGAAGGGAGUGCAAGUAUUGUAUUUCCAUCUCCUGCACUUAUUUCCCUCUCAUUAUGAUCCAAUUUUGCUUCAACGACAUAUUCCAGUCUCUCGCAGUAACUCACUUUCAGACUUUUAAGCUGCACCAAACUUCGAGCCAGUGACAACGUGAAGAUAUAAGUCAAGUUGUUGCACUCUGACACACUCAAUUCUGUAAGAGAUUGGAGGCUGAUCACAUGUUGGGUGGGCGCCUUCCAUAUCCACUUCAGUUCUGGUAAUUCUGACAUAUAUAACUCUGCUAAUCUUGAGAGCAUCACAGGAUUCCCACUCUUUCCAUGCGGCGACUUAGAGGCAUCCAUUAUGCAUUCUAAAUCUUCGCAACCGCCGACAUCAAGACGAGUCAACUCAUUUAAGCCCCGUUCAUCUAUGCUUGGCACAAUAUUAUGACAACCUGUUACCCCACUUAAAUAAAGAAUUUCCAGAUUUUGAUACAGUGCUGAAAAAAUUCCUAGCGUCGCUUUAGGACGGUUAUUCUCAAUGAUUAAGCACCUUGUCCCUCUAUCAAUGUCACAUAAAGCGUCUAAGAUCUUUCUCCAUCUAUCACAGUCAUAUGAAGUGCCAAAUUCCACGACGCCAUACCUUUGUAAUUUCGGAAAUGAAAAGUCAUUUGGAAGACAUACAACGGAUCCGUUGGGUUGGGAGUCCGACUCAACACACCUAGCGUAACUUUCUUCUGAACUCAUCCCUUCAACCUCCCAAUUUUUUAUCCAACCAUAAAAUUCUUCUAAUUGAGGAAAUUUAUUUAUCGUAAUGGGAGAAAUUUUGCCAGUACUAAUAUACAGAAGUUUCAAUCUACUAAGUUUAUCCCCCAAUCCAUCUGGAAUUUCAAUGGGAGACUCCUCGAGAUAAAGUAUUUGAAGUCUCUUCAACUUUCCAAGGAAAGACGCGUCAGUCACCUCACAUCGAAUCAACUACAGAACUCGAAGGUUAUUGGCGAGGAAUUGAAGUGAUUUAAGUGAAAGAACUCCACCUAUUAUAGUGACAACUUUCAGUGCUGACAUCUCUUUAAAAAAAUAUUCUGGAACUUGCAAUUUGUUGUCAUAUUCAGUAUUCUCCAAUCGCAAAAUAUGAAGGUUAGGGCAUACCAAACCACUAGGAAGCUCUUCUUUUUCAUUUCUCACCAAAGAGAUUCCUCUGUAUUGUUCUAGGCCUUCUUCCACUGCCCAUUCCGCCAAUCCAAUGCCAACUUUACUAGUAAAAUAUUUCUUCUCCACUUUGCCUAUCCAUAAGGCUACAUCGCGAACUACGUCAUGCAUUUUCACAAAUCUGUCAUCAUCAGUGUCUAACAGCAAUGAAGAAUCUUUGAGUCCUUUGAUCGUUCCACGCAGUAGGCUUCUGGCUUUUUCGGUUGAUUCAGCUUGAUACCAAACCAACCCCACUGCAUAUCCAAGAAAAUCCUCCAAAUCUAUCUUAUAAUCUUCUGGAAACAGCGAACACAACAAGAAGCAUGACCUGGAAUCCUCACCAUUCAAAUAAUCAUAACUAAAUUUGAGACAACCGUAAACGCCCCGGGAAUCCUUAUCAAUACCUUCUAUCUUAUCGAGUUUUGCAUUUUGUAGUUUAUCUAGUGCUACAUUCCAUUCAUCAGCGGUUCUUCCUCUUAGUGCACUUCCAACAGCUUUAAUAGCUAAAGGCAGCCCCUUACAUUCAUCAGCAACUCGUUUUGAAACAUCAAUCAAGGUUGUAUCAGCAACAUCAAUGCCAGCAUGCUUUCUUAGUAAAUCCAAUCCUUCAUCUUGCUUUAGAACACCUAGUUGGAUCUGCGUGUCACAACCCAUGCGAUCACAAACUGGCUGCAGGCGAGUGGUUAGAAGGAUUUUGCAACAAUUGUCUCUAUCACCAACGGGAAUACCUACUUUUUCCAAGUCGAGUUGAUUCCAGACAUCAUCAAGAAUUAUGAGCAUCUUGCGGCUUUUACUCUCAGAGAACAUCAUGCGCAAUCGGCGUGCUCUAUCUUUUUCAUAUGUCUCUGUUAAUUCCCAACCCAACGACUUUACUAGCUCACUUUGAACAUUUAUUAUGUUUUGAUCCUGAGAUACAGUGGCUAUCCCUACCUCAUCGAAAACAUUUUCUUCCCGAAGUUGAUUGCCCACAAAGUUCGCCAAAGUUGUCUUUCCGACACCACCAAUCCCAUACAAUCCCACUAUCUUCGUGUUGUCUCCUUUCAGUGCUUUAAUGAUCUGAUAGCAAGCCGAUUCUGUAGUCCCGAAAGGAAUAAAAUGUCUUGGUAUAGGCAAUUCUUUGUCUGAUGGAAGAGGUUUAGGACGCGCAACUGUGCUGAAUUUGCUGCGGUCUUGUAGCAGAUCGGACAGCUUGCGAGUCUCCUUUGAUGCUUUUCUACCCAUCCAAUAUCGGAAACCCCAAUUAGGACACCAUCCAUUGAAACAACUCUUCUUUUCAUCUAGAUUUGCUUUCAAAGUUCGGACAUCGGCCAUUUUUUUGACUACAUCCGCCAGCCACUUCUCUACAUCUUUCUCAACUACUAUAGCGCAAUGUUUUUGUCGUUCUUCUUCUACUUUUUCGUUGAUGCCAUCUUGUGCCUCCUUCAAAUUAGUUUCUUUAUCCUCAAGUUCUUUAACAAUGCUGUUGAAACAGAACAGAUAGCGAGCUUGUUUUAUGGUAGCAUCCACCAAUAAUUCUCCAAGCUUUGAUGCAACACCUGAUAAAAUAUCCAUGCUAUUUAUCUGCAAUUAACAAAGUUGAUCUCAGUACGCUAUAAGCAAAACAAGGAAGCUUGAUCACAAGAUCGAACGAGAACGUUUAAUUACUUUUUUCUGAACGCACGUUUAUUAACGCUAGCGUUGAUCAAUAAGAGCACAAUGCAAACGCCGGGCUUUUAAGUAGCCUUUAGCUGCAAACAGAAGAUAAGAAAUAAGGUAAAUGGUGGAUUAUAUUGAAAUUAGAUUGCUUUAGAAUAUAUCUAGCUAAUUAACAUCAUAUAUAAGUCCUUGCUCUCAGUCAAAUCUUUCAUUCUUAGAAAUAAUACCAUAAUUCCAAAAAUCAAUCAGAUCUCAUACCUUCUUCGUUAUAUAUCCUCAACUACUGCUGAAAGCUCCAGUUAGAGAGUCGCACAAGUUCAGAGAAAAUUAAAAGCUGCAUCUGGCAAUAUAAAUAAACAUCAGAUCCAAACAAAAUAGCAUAUAUCUAGCUAAUUAACAUCAUCUAUAACUCCUUGUUCUCCGUCAAAUCUUUCAUUCUUAGAUUAAAAAAAAAAAUUGAAAUAAUAACUGUUAAGUGAUAUAGGAAGCAGAAGUAGCGUACCGAAAUGAGGGCGGCUAGUUCACGGAUGACAGAUCUGGUGACCUCAAGAUCAUGAAAAAUGAUUGAACUUUGGUGGAAAGGUCUGAAAUGAUAUGUCAGUGAGAAUUGAAAGGUGGAAAGUGAAGUGAUACACAUGCCUUAUCAUCUGUCAUGGGGGGUAAUUUGGUAAAACUGAUUUAAAAUUUAAAAAAAAAAUUUAAUAUGAAGUUUUGUGUCCAACUGCUUGUACUUGGGGAAUCUUUCGGGUUAUUGAGAGGAUGAUUUUAAAUUGUUUAAUUAAAUAUAAGACUUUUACUUUUCUUUUAUAUAUUUUUCUUUAGAAUGAAUUUAAAUCUCAUUCUUAUUAAAUGAAGGUAGAUUUCUCUACACAAAUUUUGGGUAUAUUUUAUAAUUAAUGUUCAACAUAUUUCUAAAUUAUAUUAUAAAUAUUUUUAUUUAAAAUCUCAACAGAUUUCAUAACACACAAAAAGAAAUACAUAUAUAUAUAUAUUGUAAUGUUCUAACAAGAGAUUUUUAAAAUUAUUAAGUUAAAAAUAAGAAAAAUAUGUGUUUUAACAUUGUACAUAGUAAAAUAUAAUGUAUUAAAGUGAGUUAUUUAUUUUAGGAAAAUGCUACUUUUUUCGGGUCAAACCCCGAAACUCAUCCAAACGACGCCGUUUCAUUUUUUUUUUUCCUCUUUCAUUCUCCCUAAACGACGCCGUUUUGGCUAAGGCAAAACCAUUGAUUUCUCUUUCUCUUCCGUCUUCCCCUUCCUCUCACAGCCAUUGAAUGCCCAGCAAAUUCAUAUCUCACAGCCAAAUUCAGUGACAUACACUUAGUAGGUGCAAUCGCAAAGCAUCUGAUUUUGUCCCUCUCAAUGUUCCCCAACUUGUCCAGAUUCUGAACCACAAUCAACACCAACAAUGCCACCACCCCUGCCCCCAAUGAAUGCCCAGCAAAUGUCAAAGUAUAAUUUGGCUUCCUGUCAACCAAGCCCCUUAAAAAUUCACACUCGGCAUCGAAAACCCACCUUGCAGCCUUCAAUGACCCAUUGUGAACAUAUCCACCAUCAAACUUUUUCUGCCCAAGUUUGUUAUCCACAACCCAAUCUGGAUUGAUUAUAGAAGAGAAGAGAACGAGGAGACUAUGCAGGUAUCCUGUAUUUUAGUUCGAUGAAGGAAAAUGGAACGAGGCAAACGAAGGGGCAGCUGGGUUCUGAAGAGAACGAAGAGAAGAGAUGUAUUGACUACUCUGUAAUUGUUCUUUUUAUCAUGGAAGGAAAUGGAGACAGUUUCUGCAACUGGUGUUAUAUUUUGCUCUUCGUUUUUUUGGUCAGUAGUGCAUAGAUGAUAUGGAUAUUUGGUCAUGAACAAUAGGUGGUUGAUUUGUACUUCUGUGCAUAGUGUAUAUUUUCCUUGUCUGAUUCAGUGCUUUUUUUCAUGAAAUGUAUGUUUACUGUCAAGGUGCCAAGGCUGAUGGGAGUUUCUCUAUGCAUCUGGUGUAAUCAUCUACAAAGCUGAUGUAGUAUCUAUAUCCAUGUAAAAAGGAGGGCAUGGGAGAUGGUCCCCAAAGGUCAGUAUGUAUAAGCUCCAGGGGUACUGAGGUUUUAAUUCCAGUUGAAUAAAAAGAUAACUGAUGAAGUUUUCCAUACUGACAUGCAUCACAGAAAUCAGGUAAAGUUAUAGAAGACUUAAGAGACAAAUGAGGUAUAAUAUUUUUCAAAGCAUGUUUGUUUGGAUGACCAAGUCGUUGAUGCAGUAAGUUUCCACAAACAACAGAUUUGGUAAUGUUUACAUGACUCUUAGAAUUUACUGAUUCAGUACAAGCUUUAUUUUCAGCUUUAUUUGACAGAACAGAAGCUGAAUUACUAAUAACAGAAAUCAUUGAUCUAGGUACAUAGGCUAGAGAACAGGAUUUGGAAAGAAAGGUAUCUUUUGACAGCAGCUGAUACAAUCCUUCUUUAGCAAUCCCUUGAGCCAGAUGCACAGUCUUCUUCUUGUCCUUAAUGAAACAAAGAUUGGCAACAAACUCAAUGGUUAUGUCAUUAUCUUUCAAAAGUGUUGAAAUACUAAUGAGGUUUUUGGUUAUUGCAGGCACAUAUAAGAUGUCAUUUAAGUGUAAAAGUGAGUCACAUGAUGUAUGAAAGCAAGCAUAUCCAAUAUGUGAUAUAUUCAAACCUUCCCCAUUACCAACAUGUAAUAGCUGAUUACCUGAAUACUCCAUUCCCAUAUUCAGAUUCUGCAGAUUGUUGGUGAGAUGGUGAGUAGCACCACUGUCCAAGUACCAUCCUUGAUCAGCUAAGCCACCCUCUGAAGUUGUGAGAAAAGCAGCUUUUGUGUUUGACUGAUAAGGGUUGAAGUUUGAGGGUGGAUAUGCAGGAGUGAAAUCUUUGUUAAACAUGUUCCUACACUCAGCUGCAGUGUGCCUUGGCUUGAAACAAAUUUGACAGAUGACAGCAGGAGAAUUCUGAGCACCUUUGUUACCAUUAAAGGCACCAUUCUGACCAAAUACACCAUUGCCACUGUCAUUCCAGUCACCUCUUCCUUGUCCAGAAUAAUUCCUGUUGAAAUUGCCAGUAUUCCAGUGAUUACCAUCAGACCAGUUACCUCUUCCUUGGCCUGUAACACCUCUGCCAAAACCACCUCUUCCUCCAUUAUUGCUAUUAUAGCCUCCUCUGCCACCAUUGUUCCCAUUCCAGUUGACAUUUUGAUUCCAGUUACCAAAACCUCCUCCAUUAUUAUUAUUGUAGCCUCCUCUGCCCCCAUUAUUUCCAUUCCAAUUGGCAUUUUGGUUCCAAUUACCAUAACCACCUCCAGUAUUGCCAUUAAAUUUCUUGUUAGGUCCAGUCUGAGCCAUAUUGGCAGUAUAGUUCAACUUAGCUUCUUUAUUAGCAUUUUGUUGAUUACUCUCUAUUCUAGCCUCAUGAGUUAAAAGCAUAGAAUAUGCUUCAUUUACUGACAUUUUCAACAUAUUAGCUUCUAUGUAUACAACCACAGGAUAAUAUGGCUGUCCUAAUCCACAUAUCAGAUGAGUUAUAAAAUCUAGAUUGGUUACAGGACUUCCAGCCAAAGCAAGUUCAUCACUCACAGCCUUAAGUUUGCUAAAAUACUCAGUGAUUGUCAUUGAUCCUUUUUUGAGAUUAUUAAGUAGCAUUUUCAGAUGUACUUUCUUAGCACCUGUUUCUGAUCCAAAUUGUUCUUCAAUGUUAGUCCAGAGUUCAUUAGAUGAGUUAGAAUUUACCACUAGACUGAGAAUUUCAACACUGAUCGAUGACAUCAACCAGCUCAGCAGCAACUGAUCCUGCCUUUUCCAGUUAUUGAACUCUGGAUUUUCCUGUGGCUCAGCUACAGUUACUCGAUCUGAACUUAAGCUUGCUUCUUCUUGAUUGUGAAACUGAUUUGGACACUUUCUAGUUCCAUCAAGAAGAGAUUCAAGUCCAUUGGCUCGAAUUGUAGAAAGGAUCUGAGAUUUCCAGAUUGUGUAGUUUGAUCUGUCUAAUUUGAUUGGAUUUGUGAAGGUAAAAGAAGAAACAGUUUGAUUAAUGUUUGGAUUUGAGCUUGAAGAAGCCAUGGCAGCUUGGAUCAUAGCUCUGAUACCAAGUUAAAAACAGAGUUCGUGUGUUUGGAUACAGAGAAAAUGUAUGAACCAGAGAGAAAAUGUUGAGAGUAUUCGAAGAGCAAAAAUGAGAAAAAUGAUUUGUUAUAUUAUUGAUCUUGAUGACAACUGUUGUAUAUAUACAUAAUCUGGAAUGGUAUACACGCGUUGUGUAUGUGAAAAACAAAAUCAAGGCUCAGUUACUAAACCGUUAUUAACAACUAAAACUAACCAGUUGACUCAGCAAGUUACACAUCAGCAAUACUAACAAACAAAAAACUAAUUAGCUCGUUAAUUCUAUAACUCCAUAAUAUGAACUAUCUUAACAAUGCGAUUGUAUUCUUUUAAGAUUUUCUGUGCUUAUCAAAUAUUAUUUGUUGCUCAACUUAAAACAUGUUAGUCUUGGAAGCUAUUCAGAUUUUGCUGGAUAGAUCAAAUACUGGUUCAUAUUUGUGAUAUUUUAACUGAUUGCUUUGUUCUGCAGGUCACCUUCAACCUCUCGUGCAAGGUCAAGAUCCAAGUCAAGGUCACCCGUGAGUUUUCAUCGUAGAAGGAGGUCCCGCUCUUUCUCGCCUCCAUCCCGCCAUCGAAGAGGUCAUAGGUCCAGGUCACCGCUAAGAUCACGCCACUAUUCAAAAUAUGAUAAUGAGAGGCUUUCAACCGGAGACACCAGGGACGGUGCUGACAGAUCUAGGAGGGAGUCAGAUAUUAAAGGAAGAGAAGGAAGAAAUCAGAACAAAGAAAGAAAAAAAAAUAGAAGCAAAACGAUGUCGUUUGAAGACGAAUCAAAACAAAAAAAAUAAGAGCUGAAAACGACGACUUAUGCUGCCGUUUCGGGGUUUGACCCGGAACAAAUAGCAGAACUCUUUAUUUUAUCUCUUAAUUUAAUAAUUUAAGAUAUCUUUUAUUUAAUAAUGAUUAUAUAUAUAUAAUUUUCUUUUAAAAAUAAACAAUUUAAGUGAAGCAAGGACAUUUUGGAGGCGUCUACCGACAUACCAUUUUGGAUUGCAAUAAAGUGAAGGGUCCCGCUAAUUUACAGCUUAUGUCAGUUACAUGGACUUGACUAGCUUACAGUAUCUGUAAGCUACAGACUGCAGCAUCAGCCGUUGGAUGUGGUUAGAUGUGGAGUGAGAAACUAAACAAUAAAAAAUCAGAUGGUGGGAUGACGGGAGAUGUUUGUUACAGAAACUGUACCAUAGACAAGUCCCAGUUACAUUCAUAACAAAUUAAUAAUUGUCUUUAUUAUAAAAUUUUUUUAUAUUCAAAUAUCGGUUCAUUUAUUCAACCAAGUCCUCGUAUUCUUUUAAUUUAUGAUAAGAUUCUCGCAUGGACCAGAUCUGCAUAUGUGAUAAUUACUAACUCUGUCAACUAGCAGGACCCCCAUUUUUUUAAUUUGAAUGGUCACAUCAUGAUCACACUUACAGACCCACAGAAUAAUACCAACAACGAACUGUAAAUUUCCAUGGACACAAAUAUCCCCAACUAGUGCUUGCUAAUUAACUAUACACAUAAAACUUAAUCACAUGUAUAAGAAUUUCGGCCCCUCAUUGCAAUAAAGUCAAGAGUUUUCGAGAUAGAAAAAAAUAGGUGAAGGAUGAAGAUCAGAGAAGAAAAAAUAUUAAGAAUAGUUUUUGCAUUUUGAUGGGUUUUAUAAAGUAAAACCUAUAUUUGUAAUUGUAUUAGCGGUAAUUGAAUGUUGGUAGCAAGUACUGGUCAAUAUAUAUAGUCACUACUGGUCACUAUAUAUAUAUAUAUAUAUAUAUAUUACAAAAUUGGUAGCAAGUACACAAUGGAGUCUAAUUAAUUAAUCAAUUGGUGUAAAAUUUGUAUCUCCUACAUAUAUAAAUCAUCUGCAAAAUGGCACAAGACAACUAGACAAGUGCUUUAUUAUUGGCUUGCUGCAGUUCUGAACAGCCUCCAUUUGCUUCUUGAUUGCGGGAUAGCUUGAUCACUAGAACCUGCUUUUUUAUUGUAGGAAUUAAUUAAAGUGCCACUUCUUCUGUGGCUUCUUGCUGCUGCCGCCGCUGCAGCGUAAUAAAAAAUAGUUUAAUUUGCUUCCUAUUGUAAUAUAAAAUAAAAAAAUAACUAUAACUUUUGUGUUUUUUCCAUUUAUUUUUCUGCAGUUUUCAUAAUAUCUCGUUAAUCUGUUACUCUUGAUGUCGAAGCCUUUUUAGAAAACAAAUGAGUGAUUGUUUUGCGUCUGAAGGAGUUUUGUGUAUAUAUAAUAUUCUCCCAAUUUCUUUUUCUUCUCUCUAUUUUGCUUUUGAUUUCGGCUUCUCCAAAAAUAUGAAAAAUGAAGUAGCCUCCAUUGUAUUUAAACCUUAUAUAUAUAUAUAUAUAUAUAUAUUCACGAAUAAAGCAAAAAAGAAAGAGGCGUCAAGCAUGAGGUGGCAAGUGAAGCAACAGAAGCAAAUUAGUCAAACAUGCAUGUGAUCUCGAGGAAGCAAGCAGCUAGCUAUUUCUUAUUUAUGAAGCCAAGUGUGGCUUCAUUUGGUGGCUUCAUGUGUUCAUCUAAUUAAUAUUUAGAUGAACAAUGAGAAAAUUAAUUUUGAAAUUUUUUUGAUUAAAGUAUGUGUUUUAUUUUUUAUUUUUAAAAAUAAAAUAAAACAAAAGUAAUAUAAAAGAAAUUUUUUUUAUGUAUUUGCUUUGGCCCUUCUUCUUCAUCUCUUUGUCUUCUUCAUCUCUUUCUUUAUCUUUUUUUUAUGGGUACUAUUUAUAAAAUAUUAUCAUGUUAUCAUUGUACUAUUUAUGAAAUAAAGUUUGAUAACUUAAAUAGUUGAAGUUAGGAUAUUAUUUGAAUUUUAAAGAGUAUAUAAAGUAAAACUUAAUUUUUCUAUAAAUUAUGUAUAAGUGUGUAGAGUAGUUGAAUGUUCAAAGUAAUAUUUAGAGUGUAAAUAACCCUAUCCAUAAUCGAAUGAUUUGUGAAACGAAAAAUGAUUGAAAUUUUUUGAGAAAAAAUAGAAAAAAAAGAACUUAAAUACCAUUAAAAAAAACAUUUUGAAAAAUAAAAAUUAUUGCUGUCGCCACACACUUUCUUCGCGGUUUAGAAAGCUAGAACAUUUUGAAGUUACUCAAUACAAAAUGCGUGCUACUACUAAACAUUGGCCCAAUUAAUGCCCAUCGAAAAGGCCAUCAAUUUAGCCAACAAUUUUGUCAAAAUUUCAACAAUUGAAGAAACAAUGGUCACAAACGGAACAGGUGAAUUUUGAAGUUGAAUAAAUCUUGAGAUACAUACAACAAAGCCUUGAAACUUUAUUCUUCACAAUUUGAGCACGCACUAACUAUUAAACAAGUAUAGAACAAAGCUUAUUUUUAGCUCCUUGCGCGAACUGAACACGUUGAACAAAGCUUUUUUUUUUUUCUUUUUUUGGAUUUUUGGAAUUUUUUAAAUUCAUUUAUGUUCGCUCCCAUCUUUUUCUUCGCUGGCGUCUUCAUUGGCAUCCCUCUCUUGGCUGGCAGCUGCCUCCUCCGUAGUUUGCUGUGCCUAUAUAUCCAACCAAUAAAUUGGGCAUUAAAUACGAAUGAAUGAUGAAUAAAAUGAUUAAAAAAUAACAAACAGAGAAAAUUAUAAUAUAACAAAUAUAUAUAUCAAAAGAGAAAUUUUGAUUUUAGGAUAGAUCAAUUAGCUAUCACAAACGAAAACAUGAACCAACUAUGUAUAGAAUCAAUUAAUUUAAAGUUCUCAAGAAUUACCUCUGCUCCAGAAUUCUUGGAAUCAUCUUCUCCUUAUGAAUUUCCACUAAGCUUGGGACAAUUACGAACAGCAACUCCGUCGAAUGCAGAUGGAAAUGGGAUCUGAUAACCCGCAGGCCAAAUGUUGGCGAGGUUUGGUAAAUCUGUCAGUUCCAACUCCCGAAGUUCAUUCAUAACAAUUUCAUUGUAAUCCGUGACGUCUGCUCCAUCUUUAUGCCAGAAUACUUCUUCUAAUUCAUCAUUAGCUUCUAUGAAUAGGUACUUCAGUUUUUGAAGACUUGGAGCUACGCUGAUAUGAAAUAGACGCUUUAGUUUGGGGCAAUAACCGACAGAGAUCCUUUUGAGUUUUGGGAAAUAUACAGGUUGGAGAUGAUCCUCAUCAAUGAUUUGUUCUAAUUCUGAGCAAUUCCAAACAUAUAACCCCUCCAAUUGCAACAGAUUUCGAGCAAGUUGUUGAUGAGAAGAGACGUCUCAGUGUAGUGCACCCGUCCACUCUUAAAUAGGUAAGACUUUGCAGGCUAAAAUUAUGCGUGGGACCUUCAUGAUAUAAUAAUACUUGCAUUUCUCGAAGGUUAUAUGUAGAGAAGAGAACUAAGGUAAACGUGAUAUAUGGUGGAUUAUAUUGAAAUUAGAUUACUUUAGAAAUUUUUAAACAAAAAAAUAAAUAAGCCUCAGAGUUCGUUGUGCCCCAAGGAGCCCAGUGGGUUUCAAGUAGUGGGUUCAAAAUUUGGAGGCAAGGGUCCAAAAAAAUAAAUUUGAGUUUUGUUCAUCCCUUGCUCACUUUUUUUUUUUAAAUUUUAAAAAUGAGCUUGUUGUGAAUUGCGAGUGAAGACAUGCAGAUACCGUCUUUGUUUCACCGGCUCUUUAGAACAAGGUUAUUAUUAUUUGGCACGAUAAGCCCUUAGCACCAUAUUGAUUAGAGUGUGUUCAUGAGGUGUGGAUUCCCCCCUCAUGAUUUAAUUGGCAUUAAUAAUGAAUAAUGAAUAUUUAGCCCAUGGUGUAUGUUAAUACGGAUCCAGAUACCUAAGUACGUCAUUUCAAUAGAUUUCUCUUCAAUUUAUUCUCGCCAUUUCAAUUCCAAUUUUAGAAUAAUCUAAGUCACUUUCACCACAAAUCCAACCACCCUCAUACAAAAUCAAUUCUAUAUAUAAUUAAAAUCCACCUCCUCGUGGGAUCGACACUCGUCACCAUUAAUCUAUUCUACAAUAGAUUUGUGCACUUACGAGUUCAAUAAAAUUUGCACAACAGUGAUGAAAAUUGAAAAGCCACCCAUAAUAACAGUUAAAAAGAGUAUUAGAGAUUAGAAGACUUUAACAUCCUAUGCACGUGCACUCAUGAUAAAAUUUGACGGGUUUCAAGAUUAUUACCCCUUUCUUUCUUUAAUCAAUAUUCUAAUAAAAUAAUACCAUAAUUCUCAAAUAAUAUCCUAACAUAUUUUUUUCUUCAAGUGUUCAUCAUAAUACUCACCUAUUAGAUAAUUAAUUGAAUCAUAUGUUAAAUUAUUUAUUAUUUUAUCUUACUAUAUAUCUAAUGGAUAUAAAUGACAAUUUAUUUGGUGUGGUAAAGCAUGGGGUAAAUUGAAUAGUUUGUAUGAGAAUAAUUUGAGGUUUGUAUAAUUUAUAUGAAGAUAAUCUGCAAAAUAUGUCAAUUUUAAAAGAGCGAUAUUAGUAAUCAUAAAUUUAUCAAUUUUUUUAAUAAAGAUUUUGUUUAAAAAUUGGCUAACUGGGUUUCAUGAGGAAAAUAGAGGAGCAUGAACGGCGCCACUUUUAAUUUUUAUUGUUGUUGUACAAAUGAAAUUUCAAAAGAUGCAUUAAAUGGAUCCAUUUGAAAUCGCAGGAGAGCAAAAGGGACUUACGUUGGACUUGAGAUUGAAAAAAUUAAUUUUAUUUUUAAAGUAUGGUCAACAGUAAUGACUUGGAGGUGAUUCCUAUUAAUCAACCAUCUUUAACUUAAAGAAUUAAUACAAAUAAAUGGCAAAAAUAAUAUAAUGAAACUUAAUGUAAUAAAAAAUUGCAUUAAAAGAGUCGGUACAAGCUCGCUAUCUGUUCUGUUUCAACACCAUUGUUAAAGAACUUGAGGAUAAAGAAACUAAUUUGAAGGAGGCACAAGAUGGCAUCAAUGAAAGAGUAGAACAAGAACGACAAAUACACAGCGCCAUUGACAUUGAGAAAGAUGUAGAGAAGUGGCUGGCGGAUGUAGUCAAAGAAAUGGCCGAUGUCCAAACGUUGAAAGCAAAGAUAGCUGAAAAGAAGAGUUGUCUUAAUGGAUGGUGUCCUAAUUGGGGUUGCCAAUAUUGGAUGGGUAGAAAAGCAUCAAAGGAGACUAGCAAGUUGUCUAAUCUACAUGACCGCGGCAAAUUCAACACGGCUGCCCGUCCUAAACCUCUUCCAUCAGACAAAGAAAUGCCUAUUCCAAGAUUUGUUUCUUCUUUCGAGACUACAGAAUCGGCUUGCAAUCAGAUCAUUGAAGCACUGAAAAAAGACAACAUAAAGAUGGUGGGAUUGCAUGGUGUCGGCGGUGUAGGAAAGACGACAUUAGCAAAAGUUGUGGGCAAUCGACUUCGGCAAGAAAAGAUUUUUGAUGAGGUGGGGAUAGCCACUGUAUCUCAGGAUCCAAACAUAAAAAAUGUUCAAAGUGAGCUGGUAGAGUCGUUAGGUCGGGCGUUAGAUGAGGUUGAUGAAAAGAAGAGAGCAGACCGACUGCGCUUGAUGUUCUCUGAGAGUAAAGGCCGCAAGAUACUCAUAAUCCUUGAUGAUGUCUGGAAAGAGCUCGACUUGGAGACAGUAGGUAUUCCCGCCAAUUGCUGCAAAAUCCUUCUAACUACUCGUCUGCAGCAAGUUUGUGAUCGCAUGGGUUGUGACACGCGGAUUAAACUAGAUGCUCUAGACCAAGCAGAAGGAUUGAAUUUACUAAGAGAGCAUGCUGGCAUUGAUGUUGCUGAUAAAGCCUUGACUGAUGUUUCAAAACGAGUUGCUGAUGAAUGUAAGGGGCUGCCUUUAGCUAUUAAAGCUGUUGGAAGUGCACUAAGAGGAAACACCGCUGAUCAAUGGAAUCUAGCACUAGAAAAACUACAAAAUGCAAAGCUCGAUAAAAUAGAAGGUAUUGAUAAGGAUUCCCAGGAUGUUUACGGUUGUCUCAAAUUUAGUUAUGAUUAUUUGAAUGGUGAGGAUUCCAGGUCGUGCUUCUUGUUGUGUUCGCUGUUUCCACAAGAUUAUAAGAUUGAUUUGGAGGAUUUGCUUGGAUAUGCAGUGGGGUUGGUUUGGUAUCAAGCUGAGUCAAUCGAAAAAGCCAGAAGCCUACUGCGUGGAACGAUCAAAGGACUCAAAGAUUCUUCAUUGCUGUUAGACACUGAUGAUGACAGAUUUGUGAAAAUGCAUGACGUAGUUCGCGAUGUAGCCUUAUGGAUAGGCUCAGAGGAGAAGAAAUUUUUUACUAGUAAAGUUGUCAUUGGAUUGGCGGAACGGGCAGUGGAAGAAGGCCUAAAACAAUACAGAGGAAUCUCUUUGGUGGGAAAUGGAAGAGAAGAGCUUCCUAGUGGUUUGGAAUGCCGUAGCCUUCAUAUUUUGCGAUUGGAGAAUACUGAAUAUGACAACAAAUUGCAAGUUCCAGAACAUUUUUUUAAAGAGAUGCCAGCAUUGAAAGUUGUUACUAUAAUAGGUGGAGUCCUUUCACUUAAAUCUCUUCAAUUCCUCACCAACCUCCAGGUUUUGCAGUUGAUUCGAUGUGAGGUGACUGACGCGUCUUUCCUUGGAAAGUUGGAGGGACUUCAAAUACUUUAUCUCAAGAUGUCUCGCAUUGAAAUUCCAGAUGGAUUGGGGGUUAAACUUAGGAUAUUGAAACUUCUGUAUAUUGAUACUUGCUCCAUUUCUCCCAUUACGAUAAAUGAAUUUGUUCAAUUAGAAGAAUUUUAUGGUCUGAUAAAAAAUUGGGCAGUUCAAGGGAUGAGUUCAGAAGAAAGUUCCGCUAGGCAUGCUGAGUUGAACCCCCGACCCGACGGAUCCGUUGUAUGUCUUCGAAAGAACUUUUCAUUUCCGAAAUUACAAAGGUAUAGCAUCAGUGAAGUUGACAGCUUUGAAUAUACAAUUGAUAGAAUACUAACCAUAGAAAUAGAAUACUAAUUUUUCUCAAACAAACCGAUGUCACUGCUAUAUCACUUCACAUGAUCUCUUUCAACGAAUUUCUUUUUCUUUUUUACAAAUUCCUUACUUUCACAGCGUAUAAUUAUUUUAUAAGUUUGCAUGUGUAAAAUAUUUGUAGGGAUUUUUUUUUUGAAGUAUUUGUCACUUAAUUGUCAAUUUGACAAUCCUAGCUGCUAACAAAUUUUAAUUACAUCAAGUUAUUUAUUUAUUUGUCUCAGAAAUUAAGAAUUCUAGAAGUAAGCGAAUGCUUCCAUUUGCGUGACACAAUUGACGCUCUGUUGAAGCAUGGCUUUGAAAAUUUGGAAACAUUGUAUAUUGGAGAUCUUGGAGUACAGGUGGUAUUUCAAGCGGAAGCUAUUAUCGCUGAGGGACAAGAAAACAAACUAUUCCCAUGUUUGAAGAGGUUGUACUUGACAAAUCUUCGAGAACUGCAAGUAUUAUAUCAUGAAGGUCCUACACAUAAUUUUAGCCUGCAAAAUCUUACUUAUUUAACCGUAAGCAGCUCCCCUAAGCUGAGACGUCUCUUCUCAUCAACACUUGCUCGAAAUCUGUUGCAAUUGGAGAAGUUGGAAAUUUAUAAUUGUUGGGAAUUAGAGCAAAUCAUUGCUGAGGAUGAGGAUGAGGAGCAUCUCCAACCUGUAUGUUUCCCAAACUUCAGAGAGAUCUCUAUCAGAUAUUGCCCCAAACUAAAGCAUCUAUUUCAUAUCAGCGUAGCUCCAAGUCUUCAAAAACUGAAGAACCUAUACAUAGGAUUUAAUGAUGAAUUAAAAGAAGUAUUCUGGCAUAAAGAUGGAGCAGACGUCACGGAUACGGAUUACAAUGAAAUUGUUAUGAAUGAACUUUGGGUGUUGGAACUGAGAGAUUUACCAAACCUCACCAACUUUUGGCCUGCGGGUUAUCAGAUCCCAUUUCCAUCUGUAUCCAGUGAAGAUGUUCAUUAUUGUACUGACUUUAGGGUUGUUCAUAAUUGUCCCAGGCUUCCUGAAAAUUCAGAAGUGGAUCCAUUUUUUGCAGAUUCAUUAUUCCCAGAAUUCUGAAGCACAGGUCAACUCUUGAGAACUUUAGUUAAUUGAUUCUAUACAUAGUUGGUUCACAUUUUCGUUUGUGAUAGCUAAUUGAUCUAUCUUAAAAUCAAAAUUUCUCUUUCAAUAUAUAUAUGUGUUAUAUAUAUAUAUGUGUUAUAUUAUAUAUGGCAGCGAACAUAAAUGACUUUAAAAAAUUCCAAAAAUCCAAAAAAAAAAAAGGCUUUGUUCAGCGUGUUCAGUUCAAGCUUUGUUCUAUACUUGCUCUGCAGAUGGAUGGUUAAUAUUUAGUGCGUGCUCAAAUUGUGAAGACUAAAGUUUCAAGACUUUGCUGUAUGUAUCUCAGGAUUUGCUCAACUUCAAAAUUCACCUAUUCUGUUUGUGAUAAUUGUUUCUUCAAUUGUUUAAAUUUUGACAAUUGCUGGCUAAAUUGAUGGCCUUUUCGAUGGCCAUUAAUUGGGCUAAUUUAGUAGUAGCACGCAUUUUCUAGACGGCGAAGAAAGUGUGUAAUGUCGUGACAGCAAUAAUUUUUAUUUUUUAGGAUGAGUGGCUACAAAUGUGUCUUUCGCAUUCUCUGGUACCCCGUACCUUUUGACAGCCACGCAUUCUUCUUGGCUCGUGGAAACUGGAAACUGGAAACUCAUUUUCACAAAUAAGACUUUGCUUUUAUGCUACAAGUGCUUUUAAUAAUUAUUUUGUUAGGAGAAUCGGUGCUUGCUUUGGAGCCCAACCCAUCAAGAAAUAUUAGUGAAAUUUUUAGACUUUGCUUUCUAAACCGCGAAGAAAGUGUGUGGCGACAGCAAUAAUUUUUAUUUUUCAAAAUGUUUUUUUUAAUGGUAUUUAAGUUCCUUUUUUCUAUUUUUUUCUCAAAACAUUUCAAUCAUUUUUCGUUUCACAAAUCAUUCAAUUAUGGAUAGGGUUAUUUACACUCUAAAUAUUACUUUGAACAUUCCACUACUCUACACACUCAUACACCAUUUAUAGAAAAAUUAAAUUUUAUUUUAUAUACUCUUUAAAAUUCAAAUAAUAUCCUAACUUCAACUAUUUAAGUUAUCAAAAUUUAUUUCAUAAAUGGUACAAUGAUAACAUGAUAAUAUUUUAUAAAUAGUACUAAAAAAAAAAAGAUAAAGAAGGAGAUGAAGAAGAAGGGCCAAAGCAAAUACAUAAAAAAAUUUCUUUUAUAUUACUUUUUUUUAUUUUAUUUUUAAAAAUAAAAAAUAAAACACAUACUUUGGUCAAAAUUUUUUUCAAAAUUAAUUUUCUCAUUGUUCAUCUAAAUAUUAAUUAGAUGAACACAUGAAGCCACCAAAUGAAGCCACACUUGGCUUCAUAAAUAAGAAAUAGCUAGCUGCUUGCUUCCUCGAGAUCACAUGCAUGUUUGACUAAUUUGCUUCUGUUGCUUCACUUGCCACCUCAUGCUUGACGCCUCUUUCUUUUUUGCUUUAUUCGUGAAUAUAUAUAUAUAUAUAUAUAUAUAAGGUUUAAAUACAAUGGAGGCUACUUCAUUUUUCAUAUUUUUGGAGAAGCCGAAAUCAAAAGCAAAACAGAGAGAAGAAAAAGAAAUUGGGAGAAAGAAAGAAGAGGCAAGGAAAAGAGAAAGAAAAAGAAAAGACGAAAAGAAAUAAAAGAAAACAGAGAAGCCAAGAGUGAAGAAAAAUAGAAAAAGGAAGGAAAAAUAGAAAGGAGACUAAGAAGCCGAGAGUCAAAAAGAAGUUGAAAAGAGAAAUUGAGAAGAAACUUUAAGGAAAUGAAACUAGGCAGUUAGAUUGAUAUCUAGUGAAUUAUUGGGCGAUAGAUAUAUAAAGUUCGAAUAGUUAUAUUAUAGUUUUCAUGUUACGUAUCGGGUUUUAUAUUAAUUAUAAUAGUUAAUUUUUGAACCAUGUGUUUUAGGAGAAAUUCAUGUUUCCAGAAACCCACAAGAGCUUGAAUGAACCCGAGAGUGAAUUAGACUUUGUGAAUAGAUACUAUUAUUACUAUUGUGCAUUCUAUGAAGCAUUUAUGUUUGAUAGUAUAAUUUAAUAUCAUGUUAUAAUUAUAUGCACGCAUUUUAUAUAUUUGAUUGAGUCAUAAGAUGUAAUUGCCAACCACCAUAUAUAUAUUCUUCCCCAUCGGCUCUACACAUGUAGAUUGAGAGUUAGAUCACUCUACCCAUUCAAUGUGGUUAAAUUAAGCUAGUAUUGAGAGGUUUUUCCCCUGCCCUACUCAUGCGAUAAUGAUACUGGUGAGUAUUAAGAGUUAUUUUCCAUGGGUACUAUUUGUUGCAGUUUUGCCAUUUAUAUAUGUAUGAUUUUAUGUCAUAGAUUAUGUAUGAGCUCUAGUGUUUUACUUUAUUUAUAUAUAUAUAAUUAUAUUCACUCACUGAAUCGUAAACUCACUAUUUUUCUAUUUAUCUCAUUUUUUCUAGGUCUCAGCUGGAUUUCAUAUAGUUCGAUUUUUAAUUAAUUGAGGUUAGGCCAUGACACACAUUAUUGCAUGACUUGCAUUUUGAGCACGUUUAUGUCCAUAUGUAUAUAUUUAAGAUAUAUGUGUAUAUAGUGAGUUUAAAAUUGUACGAAAUUUGAAUAUGUUUUCAGAUGAGACACAUAUGUUAUAAACAUUAUUAUAUGUUUAUAGUAAAGGCCCGAGGCCAUUUUUAUAUAUCCAUGAAUUAGUUUAUGUCGUGAGUUUUAAAUAUUAAACCGCGUGAUUUGCCUCGAAUCCGACAUAUGGGUCGGGCGGGUCGUGUCAUUCAUCCACCAUGAUUUUACAAUUUAUAUUAUUCAUCCAAAAUAUCUUUAAUUUCCAAUAGAAAAUUGACAAAAUCAUAGCAAAUAGAUCAUUUUGCUCUUAAAAAUUAAUUUAACGUAAAAAGACAAAGGAAAAUUAUCAACCACAUAUUUUUAGUUUACCCUGUUAUUGAAAACACUAAAAAAUUUGAAUUUAUUUAAUUUUUUACUCUAGAUUUAUAAUUGAUAUCAACUACCCACCCAAAAUGUUAACACUGUUAGAAUAUUUUAUAGAAUUUAAAUAAAGGUCACUUUAUCCUUGGAUUCAAGGGCAUUUUUCAAUUUGCACCAUAAGUAUUUAUUUAUUUAAAGUUAUAAGUGUUUUUCAUUUUUUUAUUAUUUAAUUAUUUUUAGUAGAUUUUUUGAGAUUAAAUAAAUUAUUUUGCCUCCACUAAUAAAAACCUAAAUUUUGAGCUAUUUUUUUAAAAUGUUAGAAUGUCUAAAAUAUUAUUUAUUUAUUAAAUAAUAUUAUUUUAUUCUUUCAUAACAUAAUUUUUAAAAAAUUAUUUAUUAAAAUAAUUUUUUAAUUUUUAAUAAAAACUACCAAUGAGAAUCAAAUGACUACAAUUUGUUUUUAAAAAAAUAUACAAAUAAAAACAUUAAUUAAAUAAACUUUAUUUAAAAAAGUUAUACUAAAUAGAACCUUAGGCUACAAAAACUUAUUUUAAGCCCAACUAAAUUGAAAUAAUUUCUCAAUAAACAUUAUUUAUUAAAUAUAAUAGCCUCGUAUUUAAUUGUUUCUUCAUAUAAUAAUAAUAAUAAUAAUAAUAAUAAUAAUAAUAAUAAUAAUAAAUCCCUCUAUAAUGCCAUCAUUUUUUUACAGCAUUAUCAAUAUUCUCUUUAACAAAAAAACUCAUAAAUAUCAAAAUCCAAUCUUAAUUCAAUUUGGCACGUAGUCCUGGUUUUGCGUUUGUAUGAAAAGACUACAAAUGUACGUGCCCGUACACAUCUCCAAUAUUAAUUGAUCGUCGUGAUGAUCAUCAAUCGCGGCGUUUCGUGGCAUCCAACCGAAACUUAAAUAUCAGGAAAAAAAAAAUUAAACAAAAAACGGUUCACACUUUCCAUUGAACUCUUGCAAAUUAAGCAACUCUAUCUACAUCGUUGUUAUUAUUAUUAUUAUGUUUUUGUUGCAUUAUUGUGAAAAAAUCAAGGGACUAUGGAGAAAAAGAGAUGAUGGGAUCUUUUCUUUCAACACCCCUUCUGUAUGCAGCAAUCAAUUAAUCAGAAAUUCCAUUUUCUUUUAUUUUCCGUUUAGUUUUUCUUUAAUUAUCAGAAAUAAGCCACUUCGGCCUUGGCCGAAGUGGUGGGCUGCUGCCCUCACAAGCAGCGGUUCUAGCCCCCACAAAAGCAUUGUGGGGGCUAAAUGUUCUUUAUAUCCUUCUCCCUUGCGAAAUGCAAGUGGAGUAUGGACAUCCUCUCCUGUGAGGGGUUAUUUGUAUUGGGCAUGUACUUCAUAGAAUUCAUUGUAAUAAUGUAAGUCCCAAUCAUGUAUAUUUGAUUGUAAAUAUCAGUGUAAUACCUCUGCUACAAUAAGCAGUUGUUGUAAAUAUCUGUGUAAUGCAGUAAUCUGAUGAUUAAUCAGUCUCAAAAAAAAAAAAAAUUAUCAGAAAUAUUAACUUAAGUUACUGGUUUAUUAAUUGGAAUUUUUAUCCCCCUUCACAGAAUGGUUUUUGGUUAUGCUUACCCUGCAUAUGAGUGCUUUAAAGCAGUAGAGAAGAACAAGCCAGAUAUUGAACAGCUCCUGUUAUGCUUACACUAUUAACACUAUUAACUAUGAAGAAGCAUCACAAAUCUAAAGAAAAUCAUAAUCUAUUAAAUUAAUGACGAGUUAUCUUAAAGUUCAAUCUAAUUGAUUUUACCAUUUAUAGUGGAAGCAACCAGUCAAGUGCUCAAUUUUUAAAGGAUUAAAUUAUUUACACUGUAAAAAUUAUUCUAAACAUUUAUUAUUUCAUACAACCAUUCACUUAAUUUUAAAAAUUAAGAUUAUAUUUUUUUUACUUUUUUAAUUUGAAUAGAUCUUAAUUAAAUGAAAGUCUAAAUAGCUCUGAAUGUAUAUGCUUGAGGACAUGUUUGUUUUUUUAUGACUAAAUAUAAGUGUUAAAUUAUUUGUCUUAUAAGCAAAAAAAAAAAUGAAUUAUGAUAUUUUGACAUUUAUGUCCCUAUAAGUAUUAAUAUAUAUUUGAUAAGUUAAAGAUGGUAAGUAAAUUAAAAUCAUUUUAUUAUUAAUUAUAAAAUAUCUAUUUUUUUCAAUAUAUACAAUGUUACAGCUAAAAAAGGUACAAUGUUAAUUACAUUAUUUGUGUGUAUGAUAUGAUUUUUUUUUUCGUUUAAUCACACAAGUUGACAUAGAAUCAAUUAACAAUUUCAAGUAAAAUAGCAUUUUACAUAUAUUAUUAAUUGUAAAAGUUAAAAUAAUUAAGGAAUAAAAACAACAGCUACAUCCUAGCCCAUUAAUUUUUGUUAAAAGUUUUGUUCAAAAUGAUUGUUAUAAAAAAAUAGUUGUUAUAAAAAAAGAGCCCGAGAUGAGUAUACGACUUAACGGCAAUUGGAAAGAGUAAAAUAAAAAUUAGUUAUGUUUGAUUGGAAAUAAGUGUAUUAAAUAGGGGUAUUUUUGAGAUAUUAUAGUGAUUUUUGUUCAAACUUUUUUUAAUUCAGAUAAAAAUCCAGUUAUUUAACUUUUUUCUAUUAAGUGGUAUAUUCUAGAAUUUAGAUAAAAUACGAAAAACAAACUAGUAAACUUAAAAAAAAUGUCUGACUUCAUACAUUUAAAAAUCAAGCUUUAAGUUUUACUUUAUACACUUUUUAAAAUAUCUAAAAAAAAUCCUGACUAAUUAAAUCAUUUUAGUUAAUUUGUAAAUAAAUUCUUUUUAACACAAUUUGAAUUUCUUGAAAUCGUGUUUUUUCCUCCUUCUGAUUUUAUUGUGUUAAACAAAUCAAAUGGCUUCUGCUACGGAUGUUUUUCCCGUGCAUUUGGUUUAUUUCCCUUUAAACUGUUGCACGUUGCAACUCUUCAGCAAGAGAGUUUACUCAUCUCGUUUUCAUUCGAUUGAAUCAAGAGACAAUUGUCUAAAACUGUAAGAUUAAGUAAAUAAAUAAACUCGAACACAAGUUUAGUUAUUAUUAUGAACCAGAAGUUUUAAGUAUGAGAAUUAUAAAUCAGUAUUACAUUAGUUAUAAUAGAUUAUUCAUUUGUUCAUAACAUUAAUUCAUGUGAUGAGAAUUUUUGAAAUAAAUUAUUUUAUUUAAAUAAAAGUAUUCAAAGUAAUUUUAAAAUAUAAAUACCCUAUUUAUUUAAAAAAUUACUAUAUUAGGCAUGCGAAGGCUACAUUCAAUUGGAUUGACACUCAACCCUCCCAAUAACAAAAAAUACAGGUAUAGAAAAAACUCAACUGAGGACAUGUUAAAAAGAUUUUUAUUUAUUUUUAGUACAUAUCAUGUGUGAGAAAAGAGAGCAAAUUAGUAAGGGGUCAUUAAAAAUUUAAAAUGGUGACAUCCCAAUGAUAGAGACUGGGGCAUAAUUAACUAAAAAAUUUAUAGUAAAAUUUGCUUCACGAUACACAUGAUUUAUGGUGAUGUUCCAGUCUCGCUUCAUUAACGUAAGUUCAUAAACAAAAAAGAAUGCUAUUUUUUAACAUAAGCUCAGGAUUAAAAAAUAAACAACCACAUUUAAGAUUUAAAACACAAGUUGCCUUAAAUUAACUCGAUUACAUGUGUCUAUUUGAAAUUAUUAAAAAUAAAUUCUAUUUUUCCCGCUAUCCCUAUCACUUUGCCAACGUGUUAUUCUCACAUUGGCCUGAUUUGCAGCCUCGAAUUGACUACAGCUAGGGAUGGAAAAAAUCUCCACGGGGACGGGUACCCUUGGGGAUUUUCCCCAUUCGGGGAGGGUACGGGGAUAAUUUUAUAUCCAAUUUUUUAUUCGGGGAGGGGACAGGGAAAAUUUUUUACCCAAUUUUUUAUUCGGGGACGGGACGGGGAUGAGGUGGAAUCCCCAUCCCCUACCCAUUUCCCCAUUUUAAUUUUUAAUUUUAUUUUUAUUUUUAAAAUUACUAAUAAAUAAAUAACAAAAUUAUAAAUAUUGACAAAAUAUGAGUGGAAUUUUGGGUGUGGCAUGUAUCUUUGAUCCAAGGUAUAAAAAGAAGUUCAUUGAAUAUUACUUUUCUAUGGUUUAUGGUGGUGUUAAAGAGUUGUAUGUUGGGAAAGUGGUCACCUUUUGUCGGGAAUUAGUGGAAGAGUAUCAAUUGAAGUUUUCACCAACUGUUUAUUGCUUUGAUUAUACUAGUAGUAGUUCUUCUAUUAGAUCUACAGGGGAUUCUUAUAAGAAAGCAACCAAAUGGAUUACAAGUUUUGAUGAUUAUGUAAACAAUGGAGAUUGUGCAGUUGUUGCAGAUGAAUUAGAUUCAUAUUUGGAUGAAAAAGUUAUACCCCGGAUGGAAGAUUUUAAUAUUUUGAGUUGGUGGAAGACAAAUGCUAAUAGGUAUCCUACAUUAGCUCGAAUUGCUAGAGAUAUUUUGGCAAUUCCAAUUACAACAGUUGCUUCUGAAUCAGCUUUUAGCACCGGUGGUAGAGUUGUGAGCCCACACCGUAACAAAUUUCAUCCAAGCACAUUGGAGGCCUUAAUGUGCUGUUAAAAUUGGUUACGAGCUUACAAUAGCAGUAUGAGUUUAUUUUACAUUGUAAUUAUAUUAUACAGUUAUUAAUAUUUGCACUUAUAAGUUACGUUACUUAUAUCAUUUUCAUUGUUUUAGGUUUGAAAUAUGAGGCUAUCUCUCAAUUUGCCACAUUUCUCGAGGAAGAACAGGACGAGCAGGAGGUAAAUAGUUUUAUUAAAAAUAUUAAUUAAGUAUAUACAUUUAUUUCAUUUAUUUUAUUGCCGAUAUAAAAAAUAAUUUUUUUCUUUUUAUUGUAGGAUUAUGAAGAUUGAGACAUUGAUAAAGAUAAUUAUUUUAAUAAUUUAUAUUUUGAAUGUGACUUUGUAAUGGAUCAAUAUUAAUGUAAGGUAUAUUUUAAACUUUAUUUUUAUCUGAAUUUUUUAUUUUAAUAUGAUUAAUUUAAAAUCGAAAAUAAAAAAAUGUAUUAGACUAUUAAUUAUUCGGGGACCGAGGACCCUCGGGGAUCCCCUGUUAUUAUUCGGGGAGGGGAUGGGAAUUCUCUCAAGCAAUUCUGACGGGGACAGGGAGGAGACGGGGACAUACACAAAAUAUCGGGGAUAGGUAUAGGGAGAUUGGUCCCCUCCCCUCCCCUCCCCAUUGCCAUCCCUAAUUACAGCAGAUUAAAAAGAUCAUGUACUGAAAUCGACAAAAUAAAAAAUCGGGUGCGUACCAGGCAAUACAGACCAGCCACAAACUUUUAUUGGAUGAUUGCCACGUAACGAAGAAUCAACGGUCCAAACGAGCUGGGAACUGACUGAGCCUGCGCUGUAAAGUCCAUGCGGCAUGCAGAUACGGGCCAACCAAAAGUGAAAAGCAGACUCAAUCAACCCGGCCUCCGCUGGUCUCAUCUCUUCUCGUCUCAUCCUCUACGAUCUAAACCUCUUUUACAGGAGGCCCUCAAACCGUCCCACGUGUCCUGACCACACAUAGAUUUGUGUGGUCACUAGGGAUGGCAAUGGGGAGGAGAGGGGAGGGGACCAAUCUCCCCGUAUUUAUUCCCAAUAUUUUGUGUAUGUCCCCGUCCCUUCCCCGUUCCCGUCAGAAUUAUUUGAGAGAAUCUCCAUCCUCUCCCCGAAUAAUAACAGGGGAUCCCCGAGGGUCCCCGAUCCCCGAAUAAUUAAUACAUUUUUUUUUUGUUUUUGAUUUUGAGUUAAUGAUAUUAAAAUAAAAAAUUUAAAUAAAAGUAAAGUUCGAAAUAUAUCUUACAUUAAUAUCCAUUACAAAAGUCACAUACAUUAAAUUAAUAAGUAACGCAGCAUGCAAGGGAUACAAACUUCUUUUACAAACUAUCAUGAACAAAUUAAUAGUCUAAUACAAAAUUGUUACAAAUAAAAUUGAAUUUAGAUUCAAAAUUAAAUUUUUCAAUGGUGGCGUGGACACUUUAUAAAUGUGGACUAUUCCCUUUACAACACAAUAGUUAAAUCGGAGCAAAUCAAGAGCAAAUAUUAGAUUAGAUUAGAUUAGAUAUUAAAAUUUUGAUUCGCUGUGGGCAAUUAUAACAUCUAAAAAUAAAUAAAAAAUAGAUUUAAGUUUAAAAUAUUUAAAUAAUAUUAAAAUUAAAAAAUUUUGGACUAAUAGAAUUUACUCGGUCUUUUUAAUGUCUUAAAUAAAAAUUUAAGACUUUAAUUAGUUAAUUAGGCCUAAAAGUUUAAUAAUAUAAAUAUUUUGAUAUUUUUUAUUUUUACCAAUAUUUAUAAUUUUAUAAUUUAUUUACUAGUAAUUUUAAAAAAUUAAAAUAAAAUUAAAAAUUAAAAUGGGGAAAUGGGUAGGGGAUGGGGAUUCCACCUCAUCCCCGUCCCCUCCCCGAAUAAGAAACUGGAUAAAAAAAUUUCCCCAUCCCUUCCCCGAAUAAGAAAUUGGGUAUGAAAUUAUCCUCAUACCCUCCCCGAAUGGGGAAAAUCCCCGAGGGUACCCGUCCCCGUGGGGAUUUUUGCCAUCCCUAGUGGUCACCAACCUCUGUCCUUAUCUCUCUCUAUUUCUAUGGACGUGUUUGACCUCAUUUUUCAAAGUGCUUGUCACAAUGAAACGAUGAAAAUAAAAUAUGUUAAUGGAUCAAUAACAUGUUAUGCUUAUUUAAUUGAGAUAUUUAUUGAUGUAUCACAAAUUAUUUAAGGGUAUUAAUUAAUUUUAUUAUUAAUUAUUAGCCUAUCACCACUCUCUAGAUUACUCAUAAAAUAGCACAUCAAUUAAUAUCUUAAUUAAAUAUCUAAAGUGAAUAAACAUAAUAAUUAAUCUAUCAUAAUUCAAUUAAACAAUUUACUAAAAAUAUUCUCAUACAACUCACAUCAGCUGCUGUUAAAAUGACAAAAUUUUUGAAAAAUUAUAUUUUGCGAAUGACAAGCUAAAUAGAUAAUAUUCAGAAAGAUAAAAGUUUAAGACAAGUGAGAGUUGUUCUUUAUGAUUUAUGCAAGUCAACAUUUAUCCGUUUAUACAUUAAUUUUGUUUGAAUAUAAACUCAAUUAAGACAGGUUCAAUGCACUAUUUUCUCAUGCUUAAGACAUGUUCAAUGAAUAUAAAAGUAAAUUCAAUAUUUGAGAUUUUAUUUUAAAUUUCUUUUUAUAUGGAUGAUGUAACUUUUCACGUACAUGUAUAAGUAGAUAUAUUUCGAGUUUGGGGUAAAUAUCUCAAUUUUAUUAUAUUGUAUAACAAGUAUAAAGAUGCUACAAGUAAAUAUAGCAUAUCAUAAAUUAAAAGAUGUUUAUUUAGUUAUGAUAUUUAAUUUUUAUCUUAACUUAUGUAUUGACAAUUAAAAUUUAUUAUUUGAGUUAAAAAUAACAAGACUCGGUAAUUAUUUAUCACUUAAAUUAAUUACACAAUGAUACAUUAUUUAUUAUAUUAGUUAAAAUAUAUAUUAACUUUCCUUUUAAAUAAGUGUAAUAUUAUUAUAGUAAAAGAAAGAGAGAGUAAUGCACGUUGAAAAUAAUACUAAAUUAAAUGAAACCAAACCAAACGGGGCCCACACUUUAGUUUCUAAAAACAUACAUUAUCUAACGACUACGGCUCUCCCUUUUUUUUUCAUAUAAAAGUGAGCCAAAAGAGUUAAUUAGACGCCGGGGAAGAAGAAGGCAACGGGAGGGACUCGCCCAAUACCAAAGGCAACUCUUGUGAUUCACGAGACUCUCAACAAAACAAAAGGCAAAGGCAAAAGCAAAUCCACAAACCUAAAACCCUAGCUUCACGAGAAUCAUCACAAGAAGAUUAAUGGAGACAGCUGAAAGUACAAGCUCGAUGAAGCAGCAGCAGCAAGUGCUGGACGGUUCAAAUAUAAUGAAGUUGGUUGGAAAUGAGGAGGUGUUUAGCAGCUUUGUUGAUCAUAAGUUCCAAGAACUUGACAGAGACAGAGAUGGUCAGCUCUCUGUGAAGGAGCUUCAGCCUGCUGUUGCUGAUAUUUGUGCUGCUCUUGGCUUGCCUGCUCAGGGCUCUUCUCCUGACUCUGAUCACAUCUACUCCGAGGUUCAUUUCUACGCGAACCCCAUUUCAUUUUUUUUAUAUUCUUACCGUACCUAUGAUGCUUUAACUGCUAGCUUAAUUUUUAAAAGUACAAUAAUUUGAUUACUGCAUAAGUCUUUUUUUUAAUUUAUAUUCAAGGGGCAGUGAUUUCAUCCGACACCUGUUAUAGGAAUAGUUAUUUUUAUUUUUAUUUGACAGCUAGUGAUUUUAUUUCCGUAAUUUUAUUUCCGUAAUGGUUAUUCUUAGCACACCAAUAAUACUACUACUUGUAGUCAGUUUCUUUUCUGUUUAAUUGAACGAGCCUAUAUUACUUAUACGUCAAGCCUGUGAUUUCAUUACACAACCCUAUUUCAAUCAUAAGAAUACAAUUAAUCUUUUUUUUUAAAGCAAUAGUCUCAUAGUUACUAUUUACAACUGAUCUGAUCUGUUCCUUGAGUUUGAUUUUUUUUUAAAAAAAAAAUUCUCCCCUAAUUGUAAGUUAGUGAUAUCGUAUCCAAAGAACAAGUUAGAAAAAAAAAAAAAAUAGAAAAUAUCAUUUUUUUGGUUGCAAGCUCCAAAGCUAGCGAGAAUAAGAUAAAGAUGUUACAUAAGUGGUGAAGACUUUUGUGCUCUCCCUUACGUUUCAAUUUUUUUCUUUUUUCUAGUAAGGUCAAUUAAACUUAUCUUUCAAUGAUGAUAAAUGAGCAAAAAUUGUGUCAUCAUCAGAUUAUUUGACUGUCCUCUUAUGUCAUUCAUAUUUUUCAAUUUGAAGAAAAUUUAUGAAUUGAAAAGAAGGCGGUGCAAUCUCUUCCUGGUUGGUGGGUACUGCACAGUCUAAUCUUGAUAUAACAUUUUGGUGAUCUUAAUUUCAAUAGAACAUAAUUGUAGAAGGUCGGCUACUCAAUUACGUUAACAUAUAAGCUGUCUAAUGUUUCCAUUUUCUGCGUAGUUAGCUCCAUAAUUAUCCAACCUAUUAUUCAAUUUUGGUCGGUGUAUUGCGACUUUAUAACUUUUGAUUAGCUAGCCUUUUCUUUAUUUCUUUUCUUAUUGACUUUUUCAAUGUUCUUGCUUUGUAUAUAUCUCCAUAGUUAAGGAGGAAUCUAGUGACGAAUGUUGUGGAACUUACUGCUUGUCUCUUUGGAACUUUAUUGUUGUUCAAGAAAUAAUGUAAAUGGGGACCAAAGUGAAUUUGCUUUUUAAUAAUUUGCAAUGAAGGUUUAAGUGAAGCCUCAUGACUUUGCUUGCUGAACAAGUGAUAAUCUUGUACCUAAUCUUCUAGUGUUCGGCCCAGCUCAGCACAUAUUAUUUUUUAUAUGUUGGAACCAAAAAGUAUGUGAUGUUGGAAUAUUAUUUCCUUUUAGGCGCACGAUAAAUGUGGAAGCAGUAAAUUAAAGCAUCAUAGUCAUGGCCGAAAAGCAGAGCAGGGAUAAAGUACGAGGGUGGUCCUGUUGCUCUACAUCAACUAGCCGAUUGUGUGGCACAACCGCUAAAAGAGCAGCCUGUGAUUGUUGCCCAUAGUGAAAAUAUUUUUGAUGGAAGUGGCAUUAAGAGACUCUUGUCAAACAAGUUUGAAUUAGACAAGGUGUGUCCUGUUUAAAACAUGCUUUUGUGUCAUAUUUUGGAGUGCAGCAUUAUUAUGGAAAAGCUUACUGAACUUCAUCUCAAAAUACAGACAAGGACUGCAGCUCUAGAGAUUGUGCCAAAAGAUCAUAAUGGGAAAUUAUCAAAGGACUAUUUACGUGUAGCAUUGGAUGCAGUGGCCGCAUCAGCUAGUUUACCCCGAAUUGGUGCAGUCGCACAGGUAUUCUUCAUCAACUUGUGUUACAGACAUUCCAACAAUAAUAUUAGAAGACAAUGCUGUUUGUAUUACACAAGUUAGAGGAGGAUAUAUAAAAGGAGAUAAAACCGAACACAUCUCACCAAAGUUCUUUUACGAACUUUUACACUCAUGAGCUCCAGCAGAGAGAAAAUUGAUGUUAAAUAGAUAUAUUCCACUAAUAAUUUAGCGGUCUUUUUACUAAAGGUUUACCCACUUCAACCUAGGAAAAACUAGUUUAUAGUAUUGGCAUGUGUCACCUCAGUAGAUUAUCAGGUAGUCUAUAGUAUUGGCAUGCGUCAACUCAAUAGAUUACCAAAUUGAUGUUUGUCUAUUUGAUGGGAAGUAUUCUACGUGCAUAAAUAUCUAAGAGAAGAACUAUAAAAAGUAGAUACAUGUGCUCUACACUCCUUUUUUCUAUGACUAGUUUUUCUCAUCUGAGAUUUUAUUGGUGAAGGCUUUUAAUGAGAGUUAUUUUAGGACCAUAUGAAAGUGGGGGACAUUCAAUGGAGAGUAUUGUGUAACAAUGGGUUUACUGCUUGUUGAUGCAGGAUUUUGGCACUUGAAUUUUUAGUUGGUAGGGAAUGAUCUUGAGGUGCUUCUUUCCCUGAUGAGCAGGGUUUUAGAGAACUAAACCUCCCCUUGGCAAACCCUUGCACACACAACAACCAGUCAGGGGACGCUGGUAGUUUUUCUAACAUAAACCCUCCGACGCUCAAAUCAGUAAUAUGGACUUAUUUAGAAAAAAACUAUGCCACUGAUUCGUGGCUUUGUUUUAAUUUUUAUCCCGUUAAUGUAAGAGACUUAUCAAAGAGAGUAAAAAAUAGAAUGUCAAAGUGAAUUGUUAUAUAGAUAAGUUCAAUGUCCGAGUUUGCAACUCCUUUACCAUCAUUAAAUGUCCCUUUUAUAACUUGUUUGGGCGUUCUGUCUCCACUGCCCCACGUUCAUCACUAUGUCAAGUGUUUCAUCAUGAGUGUAUUAGCGUUAUAACCAUUGCUAAGUAGGUUUAGUGUCUGGAAUCUCUGGAAAGAAUGCACGUGUUGAUAUCUCCUCGUAUUUUGUCCAACAACUACACCAUAUAGCUCCCCACCUACGAGCAAGUAGCUCCUGCACAUGGAUACCAGACAGCUCCUCGUCACCAAAGAAGCGACCCCUGCUCGGAUAUAUUUGGUCGGGACAUCAAACAUCCCAAACACAACUAUUUUCAUUUAGUAUAUUUAUAGCUUAUUAAAAUAACUUAAAUCUCAUUGAUUUAUUAAUUAAAUUUAAUGUAAUUUUUCACUAUAAAUAGCUAUGAGAAUAUAAGCCAAAAGCAUCCCAUUCUUAUUAUCUUUUUAUUUAGUACGAAGAAAGUUUUUUUUUAUCUUAAAUUUACUUUCUUAUUAAUAAUUAUUAUUAUCUUAUUUAUUACAUUUUAGUAAUUUUUUUAAAAAAUAUAAAAUAAAUUAUUUGUGUAACCUAUCCCUACUGUUAAAUUAUGAAACUUCGAAUGGAAAUUAGAGUGGCACGUGAGACCAUGAUAAUUCAUUAUAAUACAAAUUAAACAACUCAAAAGAAAAAAAAAAAAGGCCCAGGUGCACUUCACAACGCAAAAGUUGUCGAAAACUAUAAAAUAUUUUGUUGAUCUUUACUUUUCUUCAUUAAAAGUAUGCAAUUUAUUUUCACCAAAUGCUAGAGCAAACACGCGUUUUAUUUGUGAUCUCUCGAGCUUUACGGCGUGAUCGCCCUGGAAUUAAAAACAAAUCACCCAUAUCUAAAACAUCGAUAUCAUGCUUGGUACAGAAAGUAGAAACUUGACCAAAUAAAGAAUCACAUCCACUAUCUCUCAACUUCUGAAGGUUAUGCCUAUAAACUUCAACCAAUUUUAUAGCAUUCAAAAUAUCUUGAUUUUUCAUUUGUAGUGCUCGUGACAACUCAUUUGCAUAGCCAAGAAUAUUUUUCAUUAAGAAUAAACAAAAUACGAAAUCAAAUGAUUGCAUCAACUUCAAUAGCGUUUUAGCAUGAAAUUUUUGUUCAGAAUUUUCUUCAACUUCAAUUAUCUCAAGCACAUUAACCACAGAUGGAAACAUUGAAAUUAUGCUCAUUAACGUACCAUAAUGAGAAGACCAGCGUGUAUCAACAGGACGCUUUAAAGUAAUCUCCUGAUUCAAACCUUGUCCACUUGAAAGCUCACCUUUACCUAAUGCUUCAAUAACUGCAAGAGCAUGUAUCUCAUGUAGAAUGUCACGACGUUUAGCUGACACUCCAACAACAUUAACUAGCAUUGAAACUAAAUUGAAUAAAGAAUUAACAUCCUCAUGCUUUUUUGCCACGAAAAUAAGAGCCAACUGAAGUUGAUGAGCAAAACAGUGAACAUAAUAAGCAGAUUCAUUCUCCUCUAAAAUGAGUGUUUUCAAACCAUUAAACUCACCCUGCAGAUUACUUGCGCCAUCAUAACCUUGCCCACGUAACAUUGACAAACUCAAUCCAAACCUUGAAAACAUAUUAUCAAGAGAUUCUUUAAGUGAGGCAACUUUAGUGCUAGAAACAUGUUCAAUGCCUACAAAACGUUCAACCACAUAUCCAUUCUUAUCCACAUAACGUAAUACAACAGCCAUUUGCUCUUUUGUAGAUAUAUCACUAGGCUCAUCAAUUAGAACAUAAAAUAAUGCACCAUCCAUCUCUCUAAUAAUAUCAUUAGUAGUUUCAGUUGCAACACAACUUACAAUGUCUUUUUGGAUCUUUGGAGAUGUCAUUUGCAGAUUUAGAGGAUUAUUUUUGAAAGUAACAGCAUUAAUAUCUUCAUUAUGAUCAGCAAGGAAGUGUAAAAGCUCAAGAAAAUUCCCUCUGUUGCUUGAACCAUCAGACUCAUCAUGCCCACGAAAUGCUAGCCCUUGAUUUAAAAGAAAUCGAAUACAAUCAACAACAGUAUUCAAGUGAGUUUCAUAUUCACUUUGAGUUUUCUAGGAUUUUCUUUCAAAAAAUGUUGCAAUAUGUUGUUUCUGAUUCAUCAACCAUUCACAUUUCUGCCUAGCUCGGUUAUGGGCACUAUUGACACCUCCUUCAUGAAUCUUUACUUUUUCUUUUUUUUUCCAAUGUUUAAAUCCUUUCCCAGUAAAAGUAUCACUGCCUGAUUGAUCACCAUUAUCUUCUUUGAAAAGAAAACAAAAAAGAAAAUAUGCAGACUCUUCUUUUAUACUAUAUUCCAGCUAAGAACCAAAUUCUUUGAACCAAUCCGAAACAAAUCGUUGUUGUUGAUUUCUAAAUUUCUCAAAUUUAAAAUUGUGCCCCUUAGGUUGAAAAGGACCCCUUUGUAAGUAUGUUCUUCGAACUUGAUCUCGAAUAUUACAAUUAUAACUAUCAAUACAAGGUUACAAGCCAGGGUCAGCAAGUAAAUUUUGUAAAUUGACUUUAUAUGAACCAUCACUAGUUCCCUCUAAAGGAGAUGGGAGCUGUGGUUUCUUUUUAAAAAAUUUUUCCAUAUCUGUUUCAAAUCAAAUAAAAUUAUUAAUUAUUAGAUUAAAUUUCACAAUAAGACUAAAUCCUAACAACGAACAAGAAUAAUUAAUUUAAUAAAAAUUUGAUAAUAUAAAAAUAUUAUUUGACAACACACUCAAUGGGGCUCACGGGAAAGAUACAUUAUUGCAAAUUUUACUUUUUCAAUUGCUCAUUUAUUUGCAUUAACAAAGUGAUUGCUUUUAUAAUUUAUAUAAUAAAUUAUACACCACUUUCAUCAUUUCACAGAGCACCCACUAUCCCACCACUUUCCCUUUCAAUUUUAAUAUUAAAGAAUUGCUCACUUUUCACAAAUCAACUUUUACUUUUGGAAUUUUGUAUAUAGCUAUCAGAAUAAGAAUUGACGAACGAAGUUAGAGAGAUGCAGCACAUUCAUUCGGCCAAAAUCAUUAGUCAAACUUCAAAACAACAUUCAAGCACAAUACUUGUUUCAAUUUAUGGGCUAUGGCUGAUCUAGCUAAGGGACGAAAUCAUGAAAGGCUCAUUUUUCAAUCUAUGUUGUAAUAAGAAUGAUAUUUAAAUUCAUUUUAAAGAGAAACAUAUAAUUAAAAAAAAUGAAAAUCUUAUAUUUAAUUAAACUCAUUCUCUCAACAACCCGAAAGAUGCCCCAAAUACAAGCCGUUGGACACAAAGUUUCUUUUUUAAUUUUUUUCAACUUUUUUAUUUUAAAUGAGUUUUACCAAAUUGUCCCCUCAUCAUAGAUUAUAAGGUAUGCGUACCUUUUCACCCUCCACCUUUCAAUUCUCACUGAUGUAGAAUUUAAAAAAGAAAAGAAAAGAAAAGAAAAGUGAAGCCACCAAGUCAAUGGCAACUUGUGAAACAUUACUCGGACCUUGCUACCAAAGCUCAUUCAUUUCUCAUGCUCUCGGAAAUUACCAGAUCUCUGAGCUGCUGCUCUCAUUUCGGUAUGUUACUUUUGCUUCCUAUAUCGCUUACAGUGUUAUUUCAAUCCCUUUUUUCCCCCCCAAUGAAAGAUUUGAUAGUGAACAAGAACUUAUGUAUGAUGUUAAUUAGGUAGAUAUAUCUUAUGUUGUUUUGAUCUGAUGUUUAUUUAUAUUGCUAGAUGAAGCUUUUAAUUUUCUCUGAACUCUUGCGACUCUCUAACUGGAGGUUUCAGCAGUGAUUGAGGAUAUAUAACGAAGAAGGUAUGCGAUAUUAUUGUUUCAUAAGCUCUUAAUUUGAUGUUAUUUGUUUUACUUCCAAUGGCUACGCUAGUUCGUUUUAUGCCAAUUUUGCACGUUGGAUUAAAAACAUACAGAUAAAAUGGUCGAGAAUUUUAAGUUCUAAGUCUUUUAAUGCAAUUUUUUAUUACAUUAAUUUUCAUUAUAUUAUUUUUGCCGUUUAUUUGUAUUAAUUCUUAAGUCAAAGAUGGUUGAUUAAUAGGAAUCACCUCCAAGUCAUUACUGUUGACCAUACUUUAAAAAUAAAAUUAAUUUGCCUACCGGCUUUAAUGAAGUCCGAACAUGAGUCCAUUAUGCUCUCCUGUGAUUUCAAAUUGAUCCAUUUAAUACAUCUUUUGAAUUUCAUAUGUGCAACAACUAUAAUCUGGAAAUCCUUCAAUUUUUUUCAUGAGUGCGCGUGCAUAAGUUGUUGCGGAUUAGAAUAGGUUGUUGCGGUCUUCUAAUCUCUAUUACUCUUUUUUCAUCACUUUUAGCAUAUUUCCACAUGAAACUGCCUGUCUUCACUUGCAAUUCCCAACGAGCUCAAUUUUUUUUUUUUAAAAAAAAGGUAAGGGUUAGAUAAAGCUACAAUUCAUUUCUUUUUAAACUCUUUACCUCAUCCAAGAUUCGAACCCGCUCCUUUUUGGGGCACAAUGAACUCUUAGGCUUAUCUAAAUUCUAUUAAAUUUGAUGUUUGAUAUUUUUCUUCAAAAAUUUCUAAAGCAAUCUAAUUUCAAUAUGUUCCACCAUAUAUCACGUUUACCUUAUUUCUUCUCUUCUGUUUGCAGCUAAAGGCUACUUAAAGCCCAGCGUUUGUAUUUUGCUCUAUUGAUCAAAGCUGGCGUUAAUAAACGUGCAUUCGCAGAAUAGAAGAAAGUAAUUAAACGUUCAGAAAAUAGUAAUUAAACAUUAUCGUUCGAUCUUGUGAUCAAGCCUCGUUGUUUUGCUUAUAGUGUACUGAGAUCAACUUUGUUAAUUGCAGAUAAAUAGCAUGGAAAUUUUAUCAGGUAUUGCAUCAAAGCUUGGAGAAUUAUUGGUGGAUGCUACCAUAAAACAAGCUCGCUAUCUGUUCUGUUUCAACAGCAUUGUUAAAGAACUUGAGGAUAAAGAAACUAAUUUGAAGGAGGCACAAGAUGGCAUCAACGAAAAAGUAGAAGAAGAACGACAAAAACAUUGCGCUAUAGUAGUUGAGAAAGAUGUAGAGAAGUGGCUAGCGGAUGUAGUCAAAGAAAUGGCAGAUGUUCGAAAUUUGAAAGCAAUGGUAGAUGAAAAGAAGAGUUGUCUUAAUGGAUGGUGUCCUAAUUGGGGUUGCCGAUAUUGGCUGGGUAGAAAAGCAUCAAAAAGGACUAGCAAGCUGUCCGAUCUGCUACAAGACCGCAGCAAAUUCAGCACAAUUGCCCGUCCUAAACCUCUUCCAUCAGACAAAGAAUUGCCUAUACCAAGACAUUUUAUGUCUUUCGGGACUACAGAAUCGGCUUGCAAUCAGAUCAUUGAAGCACUGAUAAAAGACAGCACAAAGAUGGUGGGAUUGCAUGGUCUCGGUGGUGUAGGAAAGACAACCCUGGCAAAAUUUGUGGGCAAUCAACUUCGGCAGAAAAUGAUUUUCGAUCAGGUGGGGAUAGCCACUGUGUCUCAGGAUCCAAGCAUAAUAAAUGUUCAAAGUGAGCUGGUAAAGUCGUUAGGUUGGGCAUUAACGGAGCAAGAUGAAGAAGAUAGAGCAGACCGACUGCGCUUGAUGUUCUUUGAGAGUAAAAGCCGCAAGAUACUCAUAAUCCUUGAUGAUGUCUGGAAAGAGCUCGACAUGGAGACAGUAGGUAUUCCCGUCGGUGAUAGAGACAACUGCUGCAAAAUGCUUCUAACUACUCGCCUGCAGCAGGUUUGUGAUCGCAUGGGUUGUGACACGCGGAUUAAACUAGAUGCUCUAGACCAAGCAGAAGGAUUGAAUUUACUAAGAAAGCAUGCUGGCAUUGACGUUGCUGAUACAACCUUGAUUGAUGUUUCAAAACGAGUUGCUGAUGAAUGUAAGGGGUUGCCUUUAGCUAUUAAAGCUGUUGGAAGUGCACUAAGAGGAAGAACCGCUGAUGAAUGGAAUGUAGCACUAGAUAAACUACAAAAUGCAAAACUCGAUAAGAUAGAAGGUAUUGAUAAGGAUUCCCGGGGCGUUUACGGUUGUCUCAAAUUUAGUUAUGAUUAUUUGAAUGGUGAGGAUUCCAGGUCGUGCUUCUUAUUGUGUUCGCUGUUUCCAGAAGAUUAUGAGAUAGAUUUGGAGGAUUUGCUUGGAUAUGCUGUGGGGUUGGUUUGGUAUCAAGCUGAGUCAAUCGAAAAAGCCAGAAGCCUACUGCGUUGAACAAUCAAAGGACUCAAAGAUUCUUCAUUGCUGUUAGACACUGAUAAUGACGGAUUUGUGAAAAUGCAUGACGUAGUUCGCGAUGUAGCCAUAUGGAUAGGCAAAGUGGAGAAGAAAUGUUUUACUAGUAAAGUUGGCAUUGGAUUGGCGGAAUGGGCAGUGGAAGAAUGCCUAGAACAAUACAGAGGAAUCUCUUUGGUGGGAAAUGAAAAAGUAGAGCUUCCUAGCGGUUUGGUAUGCCCUAGCCUUCAUAUUUUACGACUGGAGAAUACUCUAGAUGGCAACAAAUUGCAAGUUCCAGAAUAUUUUUUUAAAGAGAUGUCAGCACUGAAAGUUGUUACUAUAAUAGGUGGAGUCCUUUCAGUUAAAUCACUUCAAUUCCUCGCCAAUAACCUUCGAGUUCUGCUGUUGAUUCGAUGUGAUGUGAGUGACGCGUCUUUCCUUGGAAAGUUGAAGAGACUUCAAAUACUUUAUCUCGAGAAGUCUCCCAUUGAAAUUCCAGAUGGAUUGGGGGAUGAACUUAGUAGAUUGAAACUUCUGUAUAUUGGUAGUUGGUCUGGCUCCAUUUCUCCCAUUACGAUAAAUAAAUUUCCUCAAUUAGAAGAAUUUUAUGGUUGGAUAAAAAAUUGGGAGGUUGAAGGGAUGAGUUCAGAAGAAAGUUACGCUAGGUGUGCUGAGUCGGACUCCCAACCCGACGGAUCCGUUGUAUGUCUUCCAAAUGACUUUUCAUUUCCGAAAUUACAAAGGUAUGGCAUCAUGGAAGUUGGCGCUUUAUAUGACACUGAUAGAUGGACAAGGUGCUUAGACGCUUUUGAUAGAGGGACAAGGUGCUUAAUCAUUGAGAAUAACCAUCCUAAAGCGACGCUAGGAAUUUUUUCAGCACUGUAUCAAAAUCUGGAAAUUCUUUAUUUAAGUGGGGUAACAGGUUGUCAUAAUAUUGUGCCAAGCAUAGAUGAACGGGGCUUAAAUGAGUUGACUAUUCUUCAUGUCACCGAUUGUAAAGAUUUAGAAUGCAUAAUGGACGCCUCUAAGUCGCCGCAUGGAAAGAGUGGGAAUCCUGUGAUGCUCUCAAGAUUAGUAGAGUUAUAUAUGAGGGGAUUACCAGAACUGAAGUGGAUAUGGAAGGCGCCCGGCCAACAUGUGAUCGGCCUCCAAUCUCUUACAGAAUUAAAAGUGUCAUGGUGCAACAAUUUGACAUAUAUCUUCACGUUGUCACAAGCUCGAAGUUUGGUGCAGCUUAAAAGUCUGAAAGUGAGUUACUGCGAGAGACUGGAAUGUAUCGUUGAA